UUGAGCCUAGGUAGGGUUGCGACGUGUUGAUGUUCCGAGGCCGGGCUUGACCCUAGAAAGUGUGUCCUUCCAGAGUUUAUCGAGCGUGACGGGUAAGAUGGUGCACCCCUCCAGGGAUGAAAAUUAGCUAUUCGGUUAGUCGUGUUCACGGUUACAGGACAGCUUGGAGUUGUGCCCCGAACUUAUACAACUUGAAUUCUUACUUAACUGGAAUAUUGCUCCAGGAUUGCUUUCUCUCACGGAGUCAAGGAAAAAUCUUUGGGUGUGACCUUAAUUAAUAUUGUUGCAACAAUGUGACUAUUUUAGUGUGUUACUUUCUCUAUUCUCUUCUAUUGCUACAAGACACCUGAAGAUGCUAGUCUUCGAUAGGACUAGUCCCCUCUCUCUAUUCUCGCAUUUCUGCAGUCAGUCCACAUAUAAUCCCCUUCCCUUUGAUAAUGAUGCAUACUUAGCAUAGUUCUUAUGUCAAUCUUGUGAGUACUUUGGAUGAGUACUCAUCAUUGCUUUGCUCCCCUUUUCCCCUUGAUUCGUUGUUGCAACUAGAUGAUGGAGCCCAGGAGAUGGCGUUUCCCGCCGACGACAACUGCUAGCCCGACGGUGCCUACUACUACAUGGAGGCCGCUGAAGACCAGGAGUAGUUUAGGAGGUUCCCAUGAUGGAGGCAUCGCCUCGUUCGAUCGAUGUAUCUUUUGUGCUAGCCUUCUCUAAGGAAUUAUCCCUCUUUUAUGUCUGUACUUAGAUAUUUGUGGCUUCCGUUGACUCGUAUGUUUCUCAAGCUUCUGUAUUCUUGCCCUCGCGGCCCCUGGCUUGUAAUAUGAAGCUUGUAUGUUUUUAUUUCUGUCUAUAGUUGUGUUGUGAUAUCUUCCCGUGAGUCCUUGAGCUUGGCCGUACGCAUUUGCAUGUAUGAUUAGCAUACGAUCAAAUCGAGGGCGUCACAAGUUGGUAUUAGAGCCGACUGCGUGUAGGUAGCCCCCUUUUCAACUCCUUUGCCGAAGUUGAGUCUAGUAUUUGAAGAACUUUUACUAACAUUAUAGUGUGGCUUACGGGCCCACAUCUCAAUCGGGUGGUAUUAGUAUCUUUUACUCCUCUUCUAUACUCUUGGUUCUAAUCUCUCUUCUCUUUCAGGUUAAAGGUUUUGCUAACUCUAACAUUAGGUUCUCACAUCGACUCGGAGAGCUGGAUUAUCUACUGUUGUCCUUCUGAUAAUAUAUUACACACACUGUUAUUUGACAUCCUUCAAACUUCCUUUUCAGAUUCGUCCCGCAAGGCAGGUCGUAUGCGUGACUAUGGCUAUCGAUGUGACUCGGUUCUCGGACAUUCUGAUCGACCUUUUGACCAGCCUAGGAUAUCGCUAGUACCCCAAGUACACUAUGUAUGAGCACUUCCUCGAGUUCAACCAGUACCAGUACCAGGCUGAUGUUCGCAUCUUCGAUGGACGGACAUCUCCACCAACGAGCUCCACACCUUCUGUGGUGUUGGGUUGACAAUCGAUAUGGCCGUCCAUGAUGAUGCCUAUAUCGCUAUCACCCGCCUUCGUGGAGCACACGCUCGCCUGGAGGAGAGUGCAUUCAGAUACAUCCCGUAUCUCCUACUCGGGAUGACACUGGAUAUGAUCUCACUUCCUACACUGCUCGCGUUUAGGAGCGCAACGCCGGUCCUACAUCCAUGUCUGUACCCCCUACAAGAGGCGUCGCUACGACCCACACAUUUUGGUGCAGUACAUGGAGGCGCAGGAUCGUGCCUUCCGAGUCAGACUGUGGAGCUGUACACCACGCGUACCUGUCUUUACGACGCAUUGACACAGUUGCAACCAGCAAUCGAUGCGAGGAUGCACCCUGAGUACAUCCUCCACCUGCGGAGGACAAAGCUACCAACAGGACUUGAGUGGCUUGCUGUUGGAGGUCGUAACCUUACACUUGGACCUCUUCUCCCUGAUUCGAUGUGGUACGAGCACAUGUGUCACCAUGGGAUGCAAAAUCCUGCCCUAGGUUCUUCUAUCAGCGUCACUGUGACAGCCCGAGACCGACGCCCGAGAAGAUUCCCCCUGCUAUUCCGUUUCCGUCGUGUGGUUAGUUUUAUUUGUUGCAUCAUCAUUUAGUUUGCAUCGUCGCAUCAUGCAUGGCAUCUUGCAUCGUCUGUCGCGUGUGGUGUAUUGAGUGUUGUGCUUCGAGNNNNNNNNNNNNNNNNNNNNNNNNNNNNNNNNNNNNNNNNNNNNNNNNNNNNNNNNNNNNNNNNNNNNNNNNNNNNNNNNNNNNNNNNNNNNNNNNNNNNNNNNNNNNNNNNNNNNNNNNNNNNNNNNNNNNNNNNNNNNNNNNNNNNNNNNNNNNNNNNNNNNNNNNNNNNNNNNNNNNNNNNNNNNNNNNNNNNNNNNNNNNNNNNNNNNNNNNNNNNNNNNNNNNNNNNNNNNNNNNNNNNNNNNNNNNNNNNNNNNNNNNNNNNNNNNNNNNNNNNNNNNNNNNNNNNNNNNNNNNNNNNNNNNNNNNNNNNNNNNNNNNNNNNNNNNNNNNNNNNNNNNNNNNNNNNNNNNNNNNNNNNNNNNNNNNNNNNNNNNNNNNNNNNNNNNNNNNNNNNNNNNNNNNNNNNNNNNNNNNNNNNNNNNNNNNNNNNNNNNNNNNNNNNNNNNNNNNNNNNNNNNNNNNNNNNNNNNNNNNNNNNNNNNNNNNNNNNNNNNNNNNNNNNNNNNNNNNNNNNNNNNNNNNNNNCAAUGACAUGAAAACCAUCAACCUGUUCGACCUAACAAACCACUGUUUGGCUAUGUUAACGCUUGCUUAUCCAUGUUGUUAGCGUGCUAGUUGCAGGUGCAGUUGCUUCCAUAUGAAAACAUGGGUUCCUUGUUAUAGCACCCUAUUAAUGCUAUUUAAUUUAAUGCACCUAUAUACUUGGUAAAAGGUGGAAGGCUCGGCCUUUCUAGCCUGGUGUUUUGUUCCACCUUUGCCCCCUUAGUUUUGGCUACUGGUGUUAUGUUCCAUAAUUGAGCGCUCCUAACACAAUUGGGGUUGUUAUGGCGACCCCCUUGAUAAUUCGUUUUAGAUUAAAGCUGGUCUAGCAAGGCCCAACAUUGGUACUAUUUGCUCAACAUAAUAACUUGAUAAUAUUGAAAUGCAUAGGGAGUUAGCGCUACCCGAGGAGUAAUUCUACAUAAUACAGGGAGGGCCAGUGCUGGUCCAAAACAGAGCACUGUGCGGGGCUACCGCGAGGAAACUCGAGGUUUGGCACUCGUACGCGUCGCUUAUCCGUCGUGUCCUGAGAACGAGAUACGCGGCUCCUAUCGGGAUCGUCGACACGCCAGGUGGCCUUGCUGGAUUAGUUUUACCUUUGACGAGAUAUCUUGUGCAUCGGGAUACCGGUGAUGCUUUGAGUAAUCUCAGAGUUGAGGUUUUCCACUAGGGAAUCUGUCGAGAUCGUGAGCUUCGUGAUUGAGGAUUUCUAUGCGGCUUGUGGUAAUUUGUGAUGGACUAGUUGGAGCACCCCUGCAGGGUUAAAUCUUUUGGAAAGCCGUGCCCGCGGUUAUGUGGCAACGUGGAAACUUUGUUUAACGCUGGUUCUAGAUAACUUGAAGUUAACUUAAUUAAAACUUGCCAACUGUGUGCGUAACCGUGACUGUCUCUUUCGUGAGUUCCUUCUCCGAUCGAGGACACGGUGGGGUUAUGUCUGACGUAGGUAGGUGUUCAGGAUCAUUCAUUUGAUCAUCAGUAGUUCACGUCCGUUAUGCGUAGAUCUUCCCCCUCUUAUUUCUUGUACUCGUAAGUUAGCCACCUCAUAUAUGCUUAGUCGCUGCUGCAACCUCACCAUUUAACCAUGUCUCACCCAUUAAGCUUUGCUAGUCUUGAUACCGUUGGAAAUGAGAUUGCUGAGUCCCCUGUGGCUCACAGAUUACUACAACACCAGUUGCAGGUACAGGUAAAGGUUAUUUGACGCGAGCGUGUUGAUUGUUCAUUUGGAGUUGCUUCUUCUUCUUCUUCUUCUUCUUCUUCUUCAUCGAUCUAGGAUGGGUUCCAGGCCGGCAGCCUGGGAUAGCAAGGAUGGACGUCGUUCUUAUUUUUCUCGUUUGUUUUCGUCCGUAGUCGGACCCUGCUCUUACUCUUGAUGAUUAUGUAAUGUACUGAUGUGACCCUAAUGUAGCUUGUGGCGAGUGUAAGCCAACUCUGUAUAUAUAUCUCUUCUUUUCAGUACAUGUACUUGUAACGAUAUCCAUUCUUGCGACACGACGAGAUGCGCUUCUAUCCCUGACGAGGCCUUCAUGCCAAAUUGAGGAUAGGGUCGCAUCUUGGGCGUGACAAGUUGGUAUCAGAGCAGUACCGACCUAGGAGCCCCCUUGAUUGAUCGAACAUGGCCGAGUCGAGUCUAGUGAAAAACUACUUUGAGUCUAGUUAUAUAUCGGAGAGUAGGAUUCUUUUUUCUCCUCUUCUAUGCUCUGGUGAGGAAUUUUGACGUAAUAAUUUACUCUACUCCUCUUCUCACUCAAAAAAAUUUUUAGGAUCACGCGGAUAUUUUAGGAAUCUAUAUGAUGCUGAUGUGACAGAGUUCUGUCUUGGUGCCUCCUAUCUGCUUUAAGUCUCAGGGGAGUUGUGCUCCAGGGGAUUCUUGAGCACAUCGUUAUCAUUCAGAUUUCUUAGUAUCUCAGAACGAAGGAUGUUCGUAAUUGCUUCAAUAAUAGUAGUGGCGAGAUAACCCCGAUGUCCCCAGUACUGGUGCAGAUUGUUCGGGAGUACUGCCAUACUUUGUAUCGUUGUGAUCACGAGGGUCUGUUGUAGAUGAAGGUCCGAGAUUCUGGUCGUGUAUUGACGGAUGUGAUAGAGCUGACGGGUUAGUAUAUGUGUUGUGUGAUAUUACUCCUUGUAUCCGUGUACCAGAUUGCAUGACCAGAUAUUUCGGGAAUUCUUAGGUGGGAAUUCAAGUAGUUGCUUAUAGGACUAUCUUCCAACAAACGCGUGAUGUUAGGUUGGGGUUCGACAUCUAGUGGAUUCCUGUCCAUGAAAAUAUCGGACGAAAUCUUUCUCAUGAGUUUGUUCUGGCUUGUUUCAUAAGCCUCUCCCUUUGUUUUGUUGGAAUAUGGUAAUUCAUGUUGCUUUAAUGUCAAGUGGUGAUUUCAGAUCUUUCCUAAGAGGUGUUCUCAUAUUUUUAUGUGAGAAUGCAAAUUCUUUUGUUUGUUCAAUUGUCAUGGCAAUUCUUGUCUACCGGAGUCGUCAUGUUAUUCUUUUCAACCGGUGUGUUUCUCUUCAAGUAAUCCUAUCCUCUCCAAUUCUUGCAGAUCUUUCUCUCAUUUAUUCCGGAGUUCAUCUCAUCUGUCACGAGUUGUCUUUGUUUUUCCCCACCCUCCCGCCAUUUUUCUGAGUGAUUCAAUUUUCACCCAAGAGUUUUCUUUUCAUUGUGCUUCCGCUAUCUCUUCUUCCUUUUUGUAGCCGGUGAUUCAUUGUGAACAUUCUCAGGAGUCGAGUUCAUCAUUUCUUCAUUUUGUUCCUUCCCGGUGAAUUUAAUUCAGCUAUCCGUGUUCAUCAUAUCCUUUUCAUCCUUGUAAUUCUCUUUCAUGUUGGAGAUUCUUUCAGCCUAUCUUGGUUAUUCAUUCCUCUCUUUUCAUCCGGUGCGUUGAAGAUAUCUCAGAGUUUCUUGUUUCAGAUCUUUCAUUAUUUCAAGGUUCUCAACCUCAUCUAGUUUUCAUUUGUACCGGUGCAAUAUCCCUCUUCUAAGCUAUCUUGUCAACGGUGAUUUCUUUGAGUGGGCCCAUAACCCACAGGUUUUUCCCAGGAUCUUAUAUGUCUCUACUAAUCUUUUCGGAGAUUAUUAAUUCUUUUCAACUAUGACAUAAGUAUGGAUUUCAUCAGUCAUAUCCCUUCUUCAAGGUCUAUUCGUAUUAAUUCUCAUAUUGGUUCAACCUUUCAUUCCUUAUUAUUCCGGAGUGUCUCAGUAUUCUUGGUGUUGUUGCUCGUCAUCAUUCUCAGUUUGCAAAAUCUGAAGGAGUGUUUCUAUCAAAUCUUGGUCCAUUCUCUUGAAGAUUGUCAUCUUAGCUUCGUGUUAACCUCUCAUUUGUUCCAAUCAUGGGAACCCCUUUAUUGCUAUCCGGUGCAUUUCUGAGUUGUUUUCAUUCUCGAUCCUCCGAAGGCCAUCAUUUCAGAAGAUUCUCGUUCUCAGCUUUCAGCUUUCUUCCUCGAUUCUUCUCAAUUGUUGUCUCUUCGUUCGUCUCUCGAUUAUCUAGUGCCUUGUUCUAGUUUUCUCUCAGGUGGAUCAUGAUCUCUUCAUUCUCAUGUAUCUCCAUUCAUGCAUGGUUGCCUCAUUCGUUUCAAUUCUCACCGUUGUUUCUUGCAACAAUUCUUCCAGUUUGUGCUCAUAUCUCUCCUCAAUCAUUUCAAGAAUAAUAAGUGAUAUGCUAAAUCCGUUGCUUGUCAUUAGUUAAACUUGAUGAAGGAUGAGCAUAACUUAAUUCUUAUUCUUGUUCUUCCUUCUUCCAAGAGAUUUCAAUUCUUCUUCCAGAGUGGCUCAUGGUUUCAAUUCCUUUCUCGUGUGCUUAUAUUUCUUUUCCGGAGUUCCAAGUUCUUUUAAGUAUCUCUUUGUGAGCUUCAUCUAAAUCUUGGCAAGCUCAUAAUCUUAUUCUUUCUACCUUCAUAUCUUUGCAUCAUUCAUUUGUAUACGGUGGUCCUUCAUGGUGGUUCAUCAAGGUUUCAAUCCAUUCUCAAGUGUUCUUCAAGAUUUUUGUUGGAGAACCUCAAGUAUCCGUUCUCUUGCAUUCCCAAAAAGCAUUUGUUCUUUGUUUAUCCUUUGAGGUGGUAUUAUAGCAUUCUUGUUAGUGUAGGAGCCUCGAAGAGAUUUCCUCUCAAGAAUGAGAUAAUUAAACCACCAAUUCUAUGAUCAUGAGAUAUUUUCAACCCAUGAGUUCUUCGUUGAGCUAUCUUGGUUUGGAUUUCACCUAAAGCUUUUCCUAUGGAUGGUUUCUAUCAUGGUGUUUGUCAUUAAUCCAAGUUCUCAAUGUAUCCUCUUCGUGUAAGAAUUGUUCAUAUCUUGUUUAUCCUAAUCUUUCCUUGUUUCUUUUAGUGGUUGGUUGUCACCUCAUAUUUGUUGAGAUGAUUUUCAUAAGCCCACUACUAUCUUCUUCUUCGUUGUUGAUUUUCCAACUACUACGUCAAUUCUCUGUCCGGAGGCUCUUCAAUUCUGUUUUGAUGAUAGUUGUCAUUCUUCUCUUCAUUCUCUUCUUCCGUAUGAGCUAGUUUAUAUUCUCUUGUUCCAGAGGCUUUGUGAUGUUGCUCUUUUGGGUCUAUCUUGGUGUUCUAUCAAGAUCAUGGUGUUCCCUUGUUCUAUUUAGUUGUUUGAUAUGUAUAUUGUCUAAUUCUCCUACCUUUUCGAUUUUUUUGUCCCAUUUUCCUACCGAAGUGCUGCCGAAAUUUUCCUUGAAUUCUUGCUUCUUUCUCAUAUCAUUCCUCAUCGCCUUGCAACCUUCAAGGAUCGUUUGUUUCACUCGUUUGUCAAAGAAGCGAAUAAAUUUUACCUCUUGUUCUUUCUCAUCCUCUCCCCCUUUCAUUCUUGGAUCUCGGGGAGAGAUCCUCUUGUAGUGUAGGAGAGUUGUGACAGCCCGAGACCGACGCCCGAGAAGAUUCCCCCUUCUAUUUCAUUUCCGUCGUGUGGUUAGUUUUAUUUGUUGCAUCAUCAUUUAGUUUGCAUCGUCGCAUCAUGCAUGGCAUCUUGCAUCGUGUGUCGCGUGUGGUGUAAUGAGUGUUGUGCUUCGAGUGAUCACCGAGUCGUAGAGCGAUAGUAGCUCCCCCUCUCUCUCCUCUUAUUUCAUUUUGUGGUUUUGCUAAAGUUCUGUUUUAACCCCUAUUUUAAAAAUAAAGAUUCAUCUUCUUUUAAAGAAAAUCAUUUUAUUAAAUAUGGGGGCAACCCCUAGGUUUUGCUUUAUUUUUUCCCUUUUGUUAUUUAAAAAAAAACCUUUUAUUUAUAACAGGGGUUUGAUUUUUAUUAUUUUGUAAACGGGUUUUAUUUUUAAUUCUAUAAAGGUUUUAUUUUAUUUCUUUUAAAAAUGCCCAACUAUUUCUUAUAGUUGGGAACAUUUUUUUUUCAAAGGAGUCAAAAGCCUUUAUUUUUUUUGUUAGAAGCUUUCUUUCUUUAAAAUUACCUGAUUUAAAAGAUUUAAAAAAAAACCAAUAGGGAGAGGGAGAGGCCCAGCCGGCCAAGGCCCAAGCCUCCCCCAACCCUAGCGCCAGCCCGUUCCCCUCUCGUCCUCCCCUCGCACCGUCAUUCUCAACCCCAGCGCCAUCUCCCUCCUACCUGUUCCCCUCUGCGAGUCCUAGCCCCGCCGCCAGUAGCCCCUCGAGCGCCAGCCCCAUGGCGCCCGCCAGUGCCAGACCGGCGCCGUCCGCCAUGGCCCGACCCCCUCCUCCGCCAUGCUGCUCGCCGCCGGACCUCGCCCACGCCAUGGCCUCGCCCCUCGCCCUCACGAGCUCGCCGGGCUCAAGCUGCUGCUGCUCGCCGUCCCCCGCGCGCCGCCCUCGCUCCCGCCGGUCGCCGCCACCAGCUCCGAGCGCCGCAGCUCCCCUGCCCGACCUCGCCUCCCCGCCAUGGCUAGUCCCGCGCCAGGGCCCCAUGGCCUCCUCCUUCCUCGCCGAGGCCCCUGCCGGCGCCUCAAGCUCGCCGCAGCCGCCAGUGGCCGCCCAUUCCCCUUGCAUGUCGCCUCCACCAGGGCCCCGACCUCCUCUGCCUGCUGCCGUUGCUGCUUGGAGCUGCUGUUGCUGUCGUGCCUGCUUUUGCUAGUGCUGCCUGCCUGGCGGGCUGCCGUUCCCCGCGAUCCCUGCCGCUGUGCCGAGCCGCUGCAUGUGCCUGUUGCUGUGCCCGAUGUGCUGCUAUGCUACCAUGGCAUGUGUAGCGCCUUGCUGCUGCUUGUCGUUGCCAAGCUGCUGCCGCUGUAGCUGUUGCUUGCUGCUUGCCGUGUUAGCUGCUGCGAGUUGCUGUUGGAUGUCGCCGUGGCUGGUGCAUGUUGUCGCGUUGCUUGUUGUCGCUUGCUGUUUGCUGUCGCCGCUGUUGUUACAUGCUGUUGUUGCUGCUUGAUGCUGCUUGCUGCCGUCGCUAUAGAUGAUUGCUGUUGCUGUUGCCUGUAGAUGCUUCCUGCUGCUUGUUGGUUGCCGUUUGCUGUUGCUGCUCGUGCUGCUUGUGCCGUAGCCCUUGCGUGCUUGUUGCCGUGCUUGCUUGCGUUUAGUUGUUGUAGAUGCUGUCGUCGCUGCCGUAGCUUGUUGUUAGAUGCUAGUGCUAGUAGUUGUAGGUAGUUUGCUGCGCUUCCUUUUUGUUGUUGCUGCUGCUGUCGCGGGUUUCGUCGCCGAAGUUCGCAAGCACCCUCCGUCAUGGAAUCGACAAGCUCGCCGCGAGUACCACGACGUCCUCGACAACCUCUUCGGAAACGUGAUCGACCACUGACGCCGAAGACGCUGUGCCGACGAGAAGAACCGUGAACGACUACCAUCGACGAGGCCGAGUACCACGACUUCCACGACGUCCGCUACGAACCGAUCUGCUUCGAAUCGCACGCAUCGAAGGUAUACCGAUGAGACGUGUCGUGUAAUGAAUGCUUGUGUUGUAUGGGAUGAAAGUAUGUUUUGCGUCGUAUGUUGCCGUAGCACGUCGUCUCACUUUUGUUGUGCCCCGACACAUGCGAACCCGAGAUACGGGAUCACCCCAUCUUUAUUUAAUGUUCCCGCACACGCUUCCAGAUCGUUGGCACGAUAUCUCGACGAGUUAUCGGGAUAGGAACGUUGCCGUGGCAUCGUUUCCGUUUUGCCGCCAUGGUUCGUUCUCGCUCGUCGUGCCGACACCUGUUUCUCUCCCUUCUUGCCCUGUUAUGAACUCGCAUGCAUGAUGCAUUCAUGGCAUGAUAUAUGUGUUGCAUGUUUCUUGUGUCGUAGCUCCGUUCUAUGCUCCGCGUGCUAACCGACUAGGAUGCCAGGUAGAAUCACCCGCUUCACCCCUUGCCAUGUUAACAACAAUUUAAUAUUGUCGUGUAAAUUAACGGGAGUGAAUUAAAUAAUUAAACGUGGAGUUUUGUCGAUAUGCAACCCGUUGCAUAUCGAGCUUCAUUUAAUGUGUAGUGUUUGCGUGAGGUGUUUUGCCAUGCCAUCCCUUUCAUGUUGACCUGAUCAUGCAUCAUAGUAGGUUGUGCAUCAUGUUGUGCACCGUGUGGUGAAAUAUCUGUGUUGAUGUUUGUUUCCGGUUUGCUCCGUCUUGAUAGAGUUCCGCAAGCGUGUCGGAAUGUGAGGAACCAUUCGACUACGUUGGUUCGCCGACUUCUCGGAGUCAUUCUUCUUCCAACCGGGAUAUCAGGCAAGAUGACCAUUUCCCCAGAUACCAUUACUAUCAUUGUCAUGCUAGUAUCACCGUUUCUAUCGAUUAUGUCUCGUUGCCUACCACAUGUUCCUCUCAACAAUGACAUGNGUGGUUUUGCUAAAGUUCCGUUUUAACCCCUAUUUUAAAAAUAAAGAUUCGUCUUCUUUUAAAGAAAAUCAUUUUAUUAAAUAUGGGGGCAACCCCUAGGUUUUCCUUUAUUUUUUUCCCCUUUUGUUAUUUAAAAAAAAACCCUUUUAUUUAUAACAGGGUUUUUAUUUUUAUUAUUUUGUAAACGGGUUUUAAUUUUAAUUCUUUAAAAUGUUUUAUUUUAUUUGUUUUAAAAAUGCCCAACUAUUUCUUAUAGUUGGGAAUAUUUUUUUUUCAAAGGAGUCAAAAGCCUUUAUUUUUUUUGUUAGAAGCUUUCUUUCUUUAAAAUUACCUGAUUUAAAAGAUUUAAAAAAACCAAUAGGGAGAGGGAGAGGCCCAGCCGGCCAAGGCCCAAGCCUCCCCCCAACCCUAGCGCCAGCCCGUUCCCCUCUAGUCCUCCCCUCGCGCCGUCGUUCUCAACCCCAGCGCCAUCUCCCUCCUCCCUGUUCCCCUCUGCGAGUCCCAGCCCCGCCGCCAGUAGCCCCUCGUGCGCCAGCCCCAUGGCGCCCCGCCGAUGCCCGACCGGCGCCGUCCGCCAUGGCCCGACCCCCUCCUCCGCCACGCUACUCGCCGCCGGACCUCGCCCGCGCCAUGGCCUCGCCACUCGCCCACGCGAGCUCGCCGGGCUCAAGCUGCUGCUGCUCGCCGUCCCCCGCGCGCCGCCCUCGCUCCCGCCGGUCGCCGCCACCAGCCCCGAGCGCCGCAGCUCCCCUGCCCGACCUCGCCUCCUCGCCAAGGCUAGUCCCGCGUCAGGGCCCCGUGGCCUCCUCCUUCCUCGCCGAGGCCCCUGCCGGCGCCUCAAGCUCGCCGCAGCCGCCGGUGGCCGCCAAUUCCCCUUGCGUGCCGCCUCCUCCAGGGCCCCGUCCUCCUCUACCUGCUGCCGUUGCUGCUUGGAGCUGCUGUUGCUGUCGCGCCUGCUCCUGCUAGUGCUGCCUGCCUGGCGGGCUGCCGUUCCCCGCGAUCCCUGCCGCUGUGUCGAGCCGCUGCAUGUGCCUGUUGCUCUGCCGGUGUGCUACUAUGCUGCCAAGGCAUGUGUAGCGCCUUGCUGCUGCUUGCCGUUGCCAAGCUGUUGCUGCUGUAGCUGUUGCUUGCUGCUUGUCGUGUUAGCUGCUGCGAGUUGGUGUUGGAUGUCGCCGUGGCUGGUGCAUGUUGUCGCAUUGCUUGUUGUCGCUUGCUGCUUGCUGCCGCCGCUGUUGUUACCUACUGUCGUUGCUGCUUGAUGCUGCUUGCUGCCGUCGCUGUAGAUGAUUGUUGUUGUUGUUGCCUGUAGAUGCUUCUUGCUGCUUGUUGGUUGCUGUUUGUUGUUGCUUCUCGUGAUGCUUGUGCCGUAGCCCUUGCGUGCUUGCUGCCGUGCUUGCUUGCGUUUAGUUGUUGUAGAUGCUGUCGUCGCUGCCGUAGCUUGCUGUUAGAUGCUAGUGCUAGUAGUUGUAGGUAGUUUGCUGCGCUUGCUAGUUGUUGUUGCUGCUACUGUCGCGGGUUCCGUCGCCGAAGUUCGCAAGCACCCUCCUUCAUGGAAUCGACAAGCUCGCCGCGAGUACCAUGACGUCCUCGAUAGCCUCUUCGGAAACGUGAUCGACCACCGACGCCGAAGAUCCUGUGCCGACGAGAAGAACCGUGAACGACUACCGUCGGCGAGGCCGAGUACCACGACUUCCAUGACGUCCGCUACGAAAUGAUCUGCUUCGAAUCGCACGCGUCGAAGGUAUACCGAUGAGACGUGUCGUGUAACGAAUGCUUGUGUUGAAUGGGAUGAAAGUAUGUUCUGCGUCGUAUGUUGCCGUAGCACGUCGUCUCACUUUUGUUGUGCCCCGGCACAUGGGAACCCGAGAUACGGGAUCACCCCAUCUUUAUUUAACGUUCCCGCACACGCUUCCAGAUCAUUGGCACGAUAUCUCGACGAGUUAUCGGGAUAGGAACGUUGUCGUGGCAUCGUUUCUGUUUUUCCGCCAUGGUUCGUUCUCACUCGUCGUGGCGACACCUGUUUCUCUCCCUUCUUGCCCGUGUUAUGAACUCACAUGCAUGACGCAUUCAUGGCAUGAUAUAUGUGUUGCAUGUUUCUUGUGCCGUAGCUCCGUUCUAUGCUCCGCGUGUUAACCGACUAGGAUGCCAGGUAGAAUCACCCGCUUCACCCCGUGCCAUGUUAACAACAAUUUAGUAUUGCCGUGUAAAUUAACGGGAGUGAAUGAAAUAAUUAAACGUGGAGUUUCGUCGAUAUGCAACCCGUUGCAUAUCGAGCUUCAUUUAAUGUGUAGUGUUUGCGUGAGGUGUUUUGCCAUGCCAUCCCUUGCAUGUUGACCUGAUCAUGCAUCAUAGUAGGUAGUUCAUCAUGUUGUGCAUCGUGUGCUGAAAUAUCUGUGUUGAUGUUUGUUUCCGGUUUGCUCCGUCUUGAUAGAGUUCCGCAAGCGUGUCGGAAUGUGAGCAACCGUUCGACUAUGUUGGUUCGCCGACUUCUCGGAGUCAUUCUUCUUCCAACCGGGAUAUCAGGCAAGAUGACCAUUUCCCCAGAUACCAUUACUAUCAUUGCCAUGCUAGUAUCACCGUUUCUAUCAAUUAUGUCGCGUUGCCUACCACAUGUUAUUUUAUCAUCCUCUCAACAAUGACAUGAAAACCAUCAACCUGUUCGACCUAGCAAACCACUGUUUGGCUAUGUUACCGCUUGCUUAUCCAUGUUGUUAGCGUGCUAGUUGCAGCUGCAGUUGCUUCCAUGUGAAAACAUGGGUUCCUUGUUAUAGCACCCUAUUAAUGCUAUUUAAUUUAAUGCACCUAUAUACUUGGUAAAAGGUGGAAGGCUCGGCCUUUCUAGCCUGGUGUUUUGUUCCACCUUUUCCCCCUUAGUUUUGGCUACCAGUGUUAUGUUCCAUAAUUGAGCGCUCCUAACACGGCCGGGGUUGUUAUGUGGACCCCCUUGAUAAUUCGUUUUAGAUUAAAGCUGGUCUGGCAAGGCCCAACAUUGGUACUAUUUGCUCAACAUAAUAACUUGAUAUUAUUGAAAUGCAUAGGGAGUUAGCGCUACCCGAGGAGUAAUUCUACAUAAUACAGGGAGGGCCAGUGCUGAUGGUGCUGGUCCAAAAUAGAGCACUGUGCGGGGCUACCGCGAGGAAACUCGAGGUUUGGCACUCGUACGCGUCGCUUAUCCGUCGUGUCCUGAGAACGAGAUACGCGGCUCCUAUCGGGAUCGUCGACACGCCGGGCGGCCUUGCUGGAUUAGUUUUACAUUUGACGAGAUAUCUUGUGCAUCGGGAUUCCGGUGAUGCUUUGAGUAAUCCCAGAGGUGAGGUUUUCCACUAGGGAAUCCGACAAGAUCGUGAGCUUCAUGAUUGAGGAUUUCUAUGCGGCUUGUGGUAAUUUGUGAUGGACUAGUUGGAGCACCCCUGUAGGGUUAAAUCUUUCGGAAAGCCGUGCCCGCGGUUAUGUGGCAACGUGGAAACUUUGUUUAACACUGGUUGUAGAUAACUUGAAGUUAACUUAAUUAAAACUUGCCAACUGUGUGCGUAACCGUGACUGUCUCUUUCAUGAGUUCCUUCUCCGAUCGAGGAUACGGUGGGGUUAUGUCUGACGUAGGUAGGUGUUCAGGAUAAUUCAUUUGAUCAUCAGUAGUUCACGUCCGUUAUGCGUAGAUCUUCUCCCCUCUUAUUUCUUGUACUCGUAAGUUAGCCACCUCAUAUAUGCUUAGUCGCUGCUGCAACCUCACCACUUAACCAUGUCUCACCCAUUAAGCUUUGCUAGUCUUGAUACCUUUGGAAAUGAGAUUGCUGAGUCCCCUGUGGCUCACAGAUUACUACAACACCAGUUGCAGGUACAGGUAAAGGUUAUUCGACGCGAGCGCUUUGAUUGUUCCUUUGGAGUUGCUUCUUCUUCUUCUUCUUCUUCUUCUUCUUAGAUCUAGGAUGGGUUCCAGGCCGGCAGCCUCGGAUAGCAAGGAUGGACGUCGUUCUUAUUUUUCUCGUUUGAUUCCGUCCGUAGUCGGACCCUGCUCUUACUCUUGAUGAUUAUGUAAUGUACUGAUGUGACCCUGAUGUAGCUUGUGGUGAGUGUAAGCCAACUCUGUAUAUAUAUCUCUUCUUUUCAGUACAUGUACUUGUAACGAUAGCCAUUCUUGCGACACGACGAGAUGCGCUUCUAUCCCUGACGAGGCCUUCGUGCCAAAUUGAGGAUAGGGUCGCAUCUUGGGCGUGACAGUCAUUGUCAACUACUUAGAUUUAGCCAUUGUCUCCGACAUUGAUGUAGCAUUAUCAUUAUGUCUCGUUGUUGUAUCCCUCCAUCAAGUGUCGGCGUGCCGCCUAGGAGUCCAGGUUAUCGCCUAGUGAGUCCGGGUUAUCGCCAAAUUUCAAAUUUGUAAUCGAUGGUCUGUAAUCUAACUUAUUUAUGGGUUUGUAUGUCAAACUUGGCUACUAUGAAGUAUAUAUCGCAUUUCCUUUCGUCGUGAUUGAUUGCUUCAUGAAUGAAUAUAAUGCCCCUGCAAUUAAUUUAUGCUAAACUACCCCGGUUAAAAUUUUAGCAGGAUGGUUCGACCAACUAGCCGCCUGCGUGGUGCCGCAAACGAUGCACCACCCCGCCUCCUGAAUAUAUGGCUGGGAUGAUCCAACAGUUUGAACUGAACCACCAGUUUAUGCAAGGGCUCAUGGACCAGUUCCCAAGGCAGAAUGUAAACCAGCAGCAAGGUGUGACACUUCAAGACGCCUGCCGCCUCAACCCUGCAAUUUACCGCAUCUCAACUCAGCCUCUUGAUGCAAAUGACUAGCUCCGCGGCAUUGCUUAUGAGCUGGUGUCUGCCAAUGUGCCCCUCGCAAGCCAUGUCAACUUUGCAGCCUAUUUUCUGAAGGGUCCCGCGGCUCAAUGGUGGGAUAUUCACACGCGCUCUCAACCUGUUGGGACUAUCAUCACCUGGCCUGAGUUCUAAGCCGCUUUCUGUGCCCGCUAUAUUCCUCGGGGAAUCAUGGACUGGAAGAAGCGUGAGUUCCCCAACCUUGUCGAGGGAAACAAAACUAUGGAUGCUUAUUAGCGGGAAUUUAUGGACUUAUCCCUCUAUGCUGAAGAAGACAUUGUAACUGAUGCAUGCACACAGGAGAAGUGAUGGCCUCCACCCUGACAUCAAGCUGGCGUUCCUUGUACAGGACUAUGCUGAUUUUGCCACCUUGGUGAACAAGGCCAUUCAGGUUGAGACUGGUCUGCAUAAAUACAAGGAUAGAAGCAAGAGCAACCAUGACAUGGGUUCAUCUUCGGGCCCAUCUGCACAGAAGCGGAAGAUUUAGGUUCUCUACAACAUGUAUCAUGCACCUGCUCCUGCUCCUAUGUUGCGCCUUGUCUGCCUCCUCCACCACCUAGGAAGCCAAGGCGUCCAGCUCCACCGCCUCGAGUUCCUCCUUCCCGCCCCGAGGAUGGUCUAUGCUUCAAGUGUGGCCGUCCUGGUCACCGAUCUAGAGACUGCAUGUAGAAUCAGAUUCGGCUGGCACUUCCCUCAACUAGCAGUGGCAACAACCAGAACCGCAACAACAAUGGCAAGCCUGCUUAUGUUCGUGGUUAGGCCAACAACAUUGAAAUGGGUCAAGCUCAGGACCAGCCUGCUACCUUCAUGGGUAAACUUCUCAUUAACUUAGUACAUGCUUCUAUAUUAUUUGAUACAUGAGCAUCGCAUUCCUUUAUGUGAGAAAUUUUUGCAUACAUGCAUGACAUUAGAAGCAAAGAGAUGAACAUCACUAUAGUGGUAUACACCCUCGGGGGACAAUGUCAAACCUUUGUGGUUUGCCCCAAUGUUCCUGUUGAAAUUGAAGGAUUGGAAUUCCUUGACGCUCCCAUUUUACUGAAGUCUUCCAACAUUGACCUCAUAUUGGGAAUGGACUCGCUAAAAGCUCAUAUGGCUUCAAUCGUUUGUGCCACCAAAACCGUCCACCUCUUAAACCCUUCAAAUGAGUUAAUAAGCUACCAUGCUCAUCUCGUUCGAGAUGUUGAGGCACGGAUAUAUGCCUUGAAUGCAUUAAAUGUGUUGCCUCCUGAAGGGACCUAAAACAUUCCAAUUGUCCAGGAAUUCCAAGAUGUCUUUCCAGAAGAACUUCGAGGGAUCCCCCCUGCUCGAGUUGUCGAGUUUGUCAUCGACUUGGUACCUGGUACCACUCCUAUCGCUAAGCGACCUUGUAAAAUCCAACCACAUGAACUCCUUGAACUUAAGCAAGAAAUUGAAAAUUCGCUUCGCCUGGGUUUCAUUCUCCCAAGUUCCUAUGCUUGGGGAGCAUCUUCUCUCUUUGUUAAGAAGAAGGAUGGAACAAAUCGUUUGGUUCAAGACUACCAUCCUAUAAAUCAUGCCACUAUUCAAAACAAAUAUCCUCUUGCUCACAUAAAUUAAGUGUAUGAUCAACUUGUUGAUUACUCAGUCUUCUCUAAGCUCGACUUGAGGUUGGGCUACCACCAGAUACGUGUUGGCAAAGAGGAUAUCCCACACACAGCCUUUGUUACUCUCUAUGGAUCAUACAAGUACACCGUCAUGUCCUUCGGCUUAACCAAUGCCCUGACAAACUUCUCUCGAUUGAUGAAUUUUAUAUUCAUGGACUACUGCUACCUCUUGAGCUUGCGUUGGUUUUUCCCUUGAAGAGGAAAGGGUGAUGCAGCACAGUAGCAGUAAGUAUUUCCAUCAGUUUGAGAACCAAGGUAUCAAUCCAGUAGGAGUAUCAAGACAAGUCACCAAUGUACAAGGCAAAAACAAACAAACUUGCACCCAACGCUAUAAAGGGGUUGUCAAUCCCUUCACGAUUAAUUGCAAGGUCAGAUAUGAAGGUGGAAAGUGCAACAAAGGGCUAUAAUGAUGUGAAGUAGACCUGGGGGCUAUAGUGUUCACUAGAGGCUUCUCUCAUGAUAGCAAGUAUUACGGUGGGUGAAUAAUUACUGUCGAGCAAUCGAUAGAAGCACGGAAAGUCGUGAUGAUAUCUAAGGCAAUGAUCAUACAUAUAGGCAUCACGUUCGAGACAAGUAGACCGAUACUUUCUGCAUCUACUACUAUUACUCCACACAUCGACCGCUAUCCAGCAUGCAUCUAGUGUAUUAAGUUCAUAACAAACGGAGUAACGCCUUAAGCAAGAUGACAUGAUGUAGAGGGAUAAAUUCAUGCAAUAGAUAUAAACCCCAUCUUUUUACCCUUGAUGGCAACAACACGAUGCGUGCCUCGCUACCCCUUCUGUCACUGGGUGAGGACACCGCACGGUAUGAACCCAAAACCAAGCACUUCUCCCAUUGCAAGAAUUAUAGAUCAAGUUGGCCAAACGAAACCCACAACUCGAAGAGAAUUACAAGAAUACGAAAUCAUGCAUAUAAGAGAUCAGAGGAAUUUCAAAUAAUAUACAUAGAUAAUCUGAUCAUAAAUCCACAAUUCAUCGGAUCUCGACAAACACACCGCAAAAGAAAAUUACAUCGGAUAGAUCNNNNNNNNNNNNNNNNNNNNNNNNNNNNNNNNNNNNNNNNNNNNNNNNNNNNNNNNNNNNNNNNNNNNNNNNNNNNNNNNNNNNNNNNNNNNNNNNNNNNNNNNNNNNNNNNNNNNNNNNNNNNNNNNNNNNNNNNNNNNNNNNNNNNNNNNNNNNNNNNNNNNNNNNNNNNNNNNNNNNNNNNNNNNNNNNNNNNNNNNNNNNNNNNNNNNNNNNNNNNNNNNNNNNNNNNNNNNNNNNNNNNNNNNNNNNNNNNNNNNNNNNNNNNNNNNNNNNNNNNNNNNNNNNNNNNNNNNNNNNNNNNNNNNNNNNNNNNNNNNNNNNNNNNNNNNNNNNNNNNNNNNNNNNNNNNNNNNNNNNNNNNNNNNNNNNNNNNNNNNNNNNNNNNCAUGGAGAACUUUGUAUUGAAGAUCCAAGAGAGAGAGAAGAAACCAUCUAGCUACUAGCUAUGGACCCGAAGGUCUAUGGUGAACUACUCACGCAUCAUCGGAGAGGCAAUGGUGUUGAUGAAGAAGCCCUCCGUGUCCGAAUCCCCCUCUGGCAGGGCACGAGAACGGUCCCGAGAUGGGAUCUUGCGGAGAUAGAAGCUUGCGGCGGCAGAAAAUUAUUUGCGUGGCUCUCUCUGGGAGUUUUGUAUUUUUAGGGAAUUUAUAGGCAGAAGAAGUAGGGCAAAGGAGCCAUGUGGGGCCCACAAGCCUGGUAGGCGCGGCCCCCCAGGCCGCGACUAGGGGGCUUGUGACCUCCCUCGGGGUCCGUUGCCUUGGUUCUCAAGUUCCCUGCGUAUCUUCUGUUACGGAAAAAAUCAUUCUGAAGGUUUUAUUCCAUUUGUACUCCGUUUAAUAUUCUUCUCUGAAAAGGGUCAAAAACACGGAAAAAACAGGAACUGGCACUUGGCACUGAGUUAAUAGGUUAGUCCCAAAAAACAUAUAAAAUAGCAUAUUCAUGCAUACAAAACAUCCAAAGUUGACAAGAUAAUAGCAUGGAACCAUCAAAAAUUAUAGCUACGUUGGAGACGUAUCAAGCAUCCCCAAGCUUAACUCCUGCUCGUCCUCGAGUAGGGAAGUGAUAAAGACUGAAUUUUUGAUGUGGAAUGCUACCUAACAUAUUUGUCCUUUGUAACUUAUUUCUUGUGGCAUGAAUGUUCAGAUUCAUAAGAUUAAAAACAAUAGUUUGCUAUUGACAUGAAAACAAUUAUACUUCAAGCAUACUAGCAAAGUGAUAAUGAACUUUUGAAAUAACAAGGCCAAAGAAAGUUAUCCCUACAAAAUCAUAUAGUAUGGCUAUGCUCUAUCAUGCCCACACAACGAAUUUAAAUCAUGCACAACCCCGGUAUUGUCCAAGUAAUUGUUUUCGCACUCUUACUUUCUCAAACUUUUUCAACUCUCACGCAAUACAUGAGCGUGAGCCAUGGAUAUAGCACUGUAGGUGGAAUAGAGUGUGGUGGAGGUUGUGAGGCAAAAAGGAGGACAUGGUCACAUCGACUCGACGUAUCAACGGGCUAUGGAGAUGCCCAUCAAUAGAUAUCAACGUGAAUGAGUAGGGAUUACCAUGCAAUGGAUGCACGAGAGAAAUAAGUGUGUGAAAGCUCAAAAGGAGAACUAGUGGUUGUGCACCCAACUUGCUUGCUCACGAACACCUAGGGCAAUUUUGAGGAAGCCCAUCAUUGGAUUAUACAAGCCAAGUUAUAUAAUGAAAGUUCCCGCCAGUAUAUGGAAGUGUCAAAACAAGAGACUCUCAAUCAUGAAGAACAUGGUGCUAUUGUGAAGCACAAGUGUGGAAAAAGAUAGUAGCAUUGUCCCUUCUCUCUUUUUCUCUCUCUUUUUUGGGCUCUUUGGCCUCUUUUUUCUCAUUUUUUUGGUGGGAAUCUAUGGCCUCUCUUUUUUAUUUCCUCACAUGGGACAAUGCUCUAAUAAUGAUGAUCAUCACACUUUUAUUUACUCACAACUCAAUACGUAGAGCAAUGAUGACUCUAUAGGAAAUGCCUCCGACGGUGUACCAGGAUGUGCAACGAUCUAGCUUAGCGUAUGACGUUGAAACAUCUCGCUAGCUAUCUUAAGAUCAGGCAAUGGCAAUAUGAAAGUGACGGCACAAGUCAUGAGACGGAACAGUGGGAGUUGCAUGGCACUAUAUCUUGGAAUGGCUAUGAAAAUGCCAUAAUAGGUAGGUAUGGUGGCUGUUUUGAGGAAGGUAUAUGGUGGGUUUGUGCACCGGCAAAAGUUGCGCGGCACUAGAGAGGCUAGAAAUGGUGGAAGGUGAAAGUGCAUCUAUACCAUGGACUCACAUUAGUCAUGCAGAACUCAUAUACUUAUUGCGAAAGUUAUUAGUAAUCGAAACAAAGUGCUAAACACAUACUCCUAGGGGAAGGGUUGGUAGGUGUUAACCAUCGCGCGAUCCCGACCGCAACACAAAGGAUAACAAUCAAUAAAUCAAUUAUGCUCCGACUUCCUAACAUAGUAGUUCACCAUACGUGCAUGAUACGGGAUCACUAACUUCAACACAAGUAUUUCUAGAUUCACAACACCCUACUAACAUAACUCUAAUAUUACCAUAUCCAUAUCUCAAAACUAAUUGAGAGUAAUCAAACUUCUCUUACUAACCAAUGCUCAUGAAUAUGGAAGUUUUUAUUAUAUCCUCUUUGGAUGCCUAUCAUCUUUAGGACUACUUUCAUAACACAAGCCAAUUACCAAGUUACUUAGAGAGAGCACUCUCAAAAAGAUAUAAGUGAAGAUCGAGAGUUUUUAUUUCUCCAAAAUAUGACACCAUCGUGCUCUAAAAAGAUCUAAGUGAAGCACUAGAGCAAAGUUAUCUAGCUCAAAAGAUAUAAGUGAGGCACAUGCGAGCUAAAUUGCGUGACUCAAAAGAUAUAAGUGAAGCUCAAUGAGUAUUCUAGCAAAUUCACGAUGAGUGGAUGUCUCUCUCAAAAAGGUGUGCAGCAAGGAUGAUUGUGACAGAACAAAAAGAAAAUACUCCUAUAAUACACGAUGCUCCAAGCAAAACACAUAUCAUGUGGUGAAUAAAAAUAUAGCUCGAAGUAACGUUACCGAUGGAUUGAAGUCGAAAGAGGGGAUGCCUUCCCGGGGCAUCCCCAAGCUUAGGCUUUUUGGUGUACUUGAAUUUGGCUUGGGAUGCCUUGGGCAUCCCCAAUCUUGAGCUCUUUCCACUCUUUAUCCCAUUCUCCUUGAGAACAUCACCCAAAACUUGAAAACUUCACAACACAAAACUUAAACAGAAACUCGUGAUAUCAUUAGCAUAAGAAAACAAACCACCACCUCUUUAGGUACUGUAGUAAUCUUGAUUCUAUUUAUAUUGGUGUUAUAUUACUGUAUUCUCACUUUUCCAUAGCUAGUACCCCCCGAUACUAUCGAUAGUUUCAUCAAAAUAAGAAUCAACACAACAAAAACAGAAUCUGUCAAAAACAGACUAGUCUGUAGCAAUCUGUAUACUUCGUAUACUUCUGGCAUCUCAAAAAUUCUGAAAACUUAUGAAAAUUAGGGAAAUUGGCAUAUCAAGCAGCAGAAAAAGAAUCAACUCAAAAGCUCUUUCUGUAUAGGAAUUAAAAAUAAUUUCCUGAGCGCAAAGUUUCUGUCUUUUUCACCAAGAUCAAACAACCAUCCCCAAAACUAGUCAUAAAGGUUUUACUUGGUCAAACACAAAAAUAAACACAAAAAACACAAUCAUAACAGAAUUAUGAUGGUGUGGACACAACAAAACAGAAAGCAAAAAGCAAAGAUAUAUUCAUUGGGUUGCCUGCCAACAAGCGCUAUUGUUUAACGCCCUUAGCUAGGCAUAAGACGAUAGAAUCAAGUAUCGUUGUCUUUGGUGCUCAAACCAUAAGUAGUCCUCAUCAUGGAUUCAUAAGGAAAUCUUAUUUUCUUUCUAGGAAAGUGUUCCAUGCCCUUCUUUAGUGGAAAUUGGAAUCUAAUAUUCCCUUCCUUUAUAUCGAUGAUAGCACCAAUAGUCCUAAGGAAAGGUCUGCCAAGAAUGAUGGGACAUGUCAGAUUGCAAACAAUAUCAAGCACAAUGAAAUCUACGGGUACAUAGUUCCUAUUUGCAAUAAUAAGAACAUCAUUGAUCAUUCCCAUAGGUUUCUUAACAGUAGAAUCUGCAAGAUGCAAAUUAAGAGAGCACUCAUCAAUCUCGUUGAAGCCUAGAACAUCACAUAAAGACUUUGGAAUAGCGGAAACACUAGCACCCAAAUCACACAAAGCAUUGCAUUCAUUGUUUUUAAUCUUGACUUUGAUAGUAGGUUCUCACUCAUCAUGAAGUUUUCUAGUAAUAGAUACUUCCAACUCAAGUUUCUCUUCAAGAGAUUUCAUCAUCGCACCCACGAUAUUAUUGGUAAAGGCUUUAUUUUGGCUAUAUGCAUGUGGAGAGUUUAGCAUGGAUUGCAUCAAGGAAGUACAUUCAAUCAAAUAGCAACUAUCAUAAUUGAAUUCCUUGAAAUCUAAAGUAGUAAUUUCAUUACUACUCAAAGUUUGAUAUCCACUACUCCACUUUCAGGGCUUUUAGCAUCAAGGUAGAUAGACUCCGAAUCAUUGGGGCGUUUCUCAACCAAAGUGGAUUCAUAUCCAGCCCCAUCAUCAUUAGGUUUGACAAUAGAAAACAAGGAUUCAAUGGGAGUUCGUGAUUCUCAUCACGAGAACACGCCUUUUAAGCCACUCAUGUCUAGCACGAAUUUGAGCGGUUCUUUAUUUACUCUCAUUCAUGGAAACACGCAUAGCUUUCAAAGUUUCAUCCAUAUUAAUCUUGGGAGGAGCACAUCUCAAUUUCAAAGCAUCAAUAUCAAGAGACAUUCUAUCAAUGGUCCUAGCCAAGUCAUGAAUUUUGAGCAGUUUUUCUUCUAUGGACGCAUUGAAAAUCUUUUGCGAGUUGAUAAACUCUUUAAUAUUACUCUCAAGAUCAGAGGGUAAUUUAUUAUAAUUUCCAUGACAAUUGUUGUAGGAAUUGCCAUAGUUAUUAGAGGGAUUACUAGGAAAAGGCCUAGGAAUAAAGUUACCUCUAUAAGCAUUGUUGCUGCCAAAAUUAUUCCUACCAACAAAAUUAACAUCCAAGCUUUCAUUGCUAUUCUCAAUCAAGGAAGACAAAGGCAUAUCAUUUGGAUCUAGAGGAGCACCUUUCCUAGCAAACAAUUUCAUUAACUCUUCCAUCUUAGCACUCAAAGAGUUAAUUACUUCUAUAGCAUGCACUUUUUUACUAGUAGGUGACCUUUCAGUGUGCCAUUGAGAAUAGUUUGUCAUGAUAUUGUCUAGGAGUUUUGUGGCUUCUCCUAAUGUGAUUUCCAUGAAAUUUCCACCGGAGGCGAAAUCCAAGAUAUUUCUAGAAGCAAAAUUCAAACCAGCAUAGAAGAUUUGUAUAAUCAUCCAAAGACUCAAGCCAUGAGCGGGACAAUUUCUAAUCAUCAAUUUCAUUCUCUCCCAAGAUUGUGCAACAUGUUCAUGAUCUAGUUGCUUAAAAUUCAUGAUAUCAUUAUGGAGAGAGAUAAUCUUAGCCGGUGGAAAAUACUUGGAUAUAUAAGCAUCUUUACACUUGUUCCAAGAAUCAAUGCUAUUUUUGGGUAAAGAUGAAAACCAAGUUUUUGCUCGAUCUCGUAAUGAGAACGGAAACAGAUUUAAUUUAAUGACAUCAUUAUCCACAUCUUUCUUCUUUUCCAUAUCGCAUAACUCAAUUAAGGUAUUGAGAUGGGAUGCGGCAUCUUCACUAGGAAGGCCGGAAAAUUGCUCUUUCAUAACAAGAUUCAGCAAAGCAGCAUUCAUUUCAUAUGAUUCCACACUAGUGGCAAGAGCAAUCGGAUUACUAAUAAAAUCAUUAUUAUUAGUAUUCGAGAAGUCACACAAUUUUGUGUUUUCAGUCAUGUUGACUUCAACAAGCAGACAAGCACACAAGCGAACAGAAAGCAAGCAAAGGAAAAGGUCGAACGAAAAAGGCAAAUAUUUUUGUAAAUUUUUGUUUUUUCAGAAGUGGGGGAGAGGAAAACGAGAGGCAAAAGGCAAAAAAAUUAAAUGCAAGAAAUGAGUUUGCGAUAGUUACUUGGAUAAGCUUCACUUAGAAUAGUCCCCGGCGCCAGAAAUUGACACGUUGAAGGGAGACUAUUCUUGACUUGAUACUCCCCGACAACGGCGCUAUAAAUUGGCACGUUGACGGGAUACUAUUCUUGACUUGAUCCUCCUCCCCGGCAACGGUGCCAGAAAUUCUUCUUGCUACCUCUUGAGCUUACGUUGGUUUUUCCCUGAAGAGGAAAGGGUGAUGUAGCACAGUAGCAGUAAGUACUUCCCUCAGUUUGAGAACCAAGGUAUCAAUCCAGUAGGAGUAUCAAGACAAGUCACCAAUGUACCUGCACAAAAACAAACAAACUUGUACCCAAUGCUAUAAAGGGGUUGUCAAUACCUUCACGAUUAAUUGCAAGGUGAUAUUUGAAGGUGGAAAGUGCAACAAUGUAAAAGUGUAGAGCUGAAAAUAUGAUGUGAAGUAGACCCGAGGGCCAUAGUGUUCACUAGAGGCUUCUUUCAUGAUAGCAAGUAUUACCGUGGGUGAACGAAUUACUGUCGAGCAAUUGAUAGAACCACACAAAGUCAUGAUGAUAUCUAAGGCAAUGAUCAUACAUAUAGGCAUCACGUCCAGGACAAGUAGAACGAUACUUUCUGCAUCUACUACUACUACUCCACACAUCGACCCCUACCCAUCAUGCAUCUAGUGUAUUAAGUUCAUAAAAAACGGAAUAACACCUUAAGCAAGAUGACAUGAUGUAGAGGGAUAAAUUCAUGCAAUAGAUAUAAACCCCAUAUUUUUACCCUUGAUGGCAACAACACAAUGCGUGCCUUGCUACCCCUUCUGUCACUGGGUGAGAACACCGCACGGUAUGAACACAAAACCAAGCACUUCUCCCAUUGCAAGAAUUAUAGAUCAAGUUGGCCAAACGAAACCCACAACUCGAAGAGAAUUAUAAGGAUACGAAAUCAUGCAUAUAAUAGAUAAGAGGAAACUCAAAUAAUAUUCAUAGAUAAUCUGAUCAUAAAUCCACAAUUCAUCGUAUCUCGACAAACACACCGCAAAAGAAGAUUACAUAGGAUAGAUCUCCAUUAAGAUCAUGGAGAACUUUGUAUUGAAGAUCCAAGAGAGAGAAGAAGCCAUCUAGCUACUAGCUAUCGACCCGAAGGUCUAUGGUGAACUACUCACGCAUCAUCGGAGAGGCAAUGGUGUUGAUGAAGAAGCCCUCCGUGUCAGAAUCCCCCCUCCGGCAGGGCACCAGAACGGUCCCCAGAUGGGAUCUUGCAGAGACAGAAGCUUGCGGCGGCGGAAAAGUAUUUUCGUGGCUCUCUCUCACAGUUUUGGAUUUUUACGGAAUUUAUAGGUGGAAGAAGUAGGGCAAAGGAGCCACGUGGGGCCCACAAACAUGUUAGGCGCGCCCCCCAGGCCGCGGCUAGGGGGUUAUGACCUCCCCCAGGGUCCUUUUCCUUGGUUCUCAAGUUCCCUACGUAUCUUCUGUUACGGAAAAAAUCAUUCCGAAGGUUUUAUUCCGUUUGGACUCCGUUUAAUAUUCUUCUCUAAAAAGGGUAAAAACACGGAAAAACAGGAACUGGCACUUGGCACUGAGUUAAUAGGUUAGUCCCAAAAAAGAUAUAAAAUAGCAUAUUCAUGCAUACAAAACAUCCAAAGUUGAAAAGAUAAUAGCAUGGAACCAUCAAAAGUUAUAGAUACGUUGGAGACGUAUCAACUACCUCGACAAAUUCAUCGUGGUAUAGCUGGAUGUUAUUCUGUUAUAUUCAAAGAAUAAUGUAGAACAUGCCAAACAUCUUCGUCUUGUACUGGAUAAGCUUCAAGAGCAUCAACUCUACGCGAAAUGUUCUGAAUGUGAAUUCUGCCUCGACGAAGUGACGUACCUUGUUCAUGUGAUCUCCAAGGAUGGUAUUGCGAUUAACCCCGAAUGAGUUCAAGCUAUUCUUGUUUGGACUCUGCUGAAGAAUGUCAAGCAAGUCAGAAGUUUUCUCGGACUCGCCAGCUAUUGCCGUCGAUUUGUCGAGAACUUCUCCAAGAUUGCAAAUCCCUUAACCAAUCUGCUUCACAAAGGUGUUAAGUAUGAGUGGACUGAUAAAUGUCAAGAAAGUUUUCAUGCACUCAAGGACAUACUGACAUCUGCUCCAGUACUUGCUCCUCUGGAUACUAAAAUGGAUUUCUUCAUAUAUUGUGAUGCUUCUCGUCAAGGAAUAGGUUGUAUUCUUAUGCAAGAUCGCAAAGUGAUUGCUUAUGCCUCACGUCAAUUGCAUGCUCAUGAAGAGAACUAUCCAGUUCAUGACCUUGAACUUGCUGCAGUUGUACAUUCACUGAAAGAGUGGCAACAAUACCUUCUUGGUAAUUGUUGUGAGAUCUACACCGAUCAUCAAAGUCUGAAGUACCUGUUCACUCAGCCGGAUUUGAACCUCCGUCAACAGAUAUGGAUGGAGUGCAUAUCAGAUUUUGACUAUGGUAUAUCUUAUACCCCCGACAAGGCUAAUGUAAUGACUGAUGCCUUGAGCCGCAAGUCGUACUACAACCAACUCCAGGUUCAUAAGGUUCAUGACCAUCUUCAAGAGGAAAUCCAUAAGCUGAACCUCCAUAUUGUUCCUCGGGGUUACCUUGUUCCCCCUCCUGAAGAGUUUUGCAAGAUGAAGCUUUGUGUUGUUAAUCAGGGUUCCCUCAGUAACCUGGUUGCUAAACCAGAUCUCACGGGCUUCACCCAGACUAUUCAACUUUAUGAUGAUGAUGUCAAGAGAAUUAAACGCUACCUUGCAGAAGGUAAGCCCUCUUGCUUCACCGUUGCUGAUGAUGGUGCCUCUUACUUCAAGGGUCGCCUAUUCGUUCCAAGUAAGAAAGAAAACCAGAGAAUGACUGGAAAGGUGAUGAAAGAAGCUCACGACACACUGUUGUCUAUACAUCUGGGUAGUAUCAAGAUGUAUGAUAACCCACAAGUAUAGUGGAUCGCAACAGUUUUUGAGGGUAGAGUAUUCAACCCAAAUUUUUUGAUUCGACACAAGGGGAGCCAAAGAAUAUUCUUGAGUAUUAGCAGUUGAGUUGUCAAUUCAACCACACCUGAAAGACUUAGUAUCUGCAGCAAAGUUUCAGUAGCAAAGUAGUGAGAUAGUAACGGUAACAGCGGUAACAGUAGCAGUAGUGACAACAGCAGCGGUAAAGUAACUAAGCGAGGACCAGUAGGAAAAUCUCGUGGGCAUUGGAUCGGUGAUGGAUAAUUAUGUCGGAAGGCAUUCAUCAUGUAAUAGUUAUGACAUAGAGUGAUAUGUAACUAGCUCCAGUUCGUCAAUGUAAUGUAGGCAUGUAUUCCGUAUUUAGUCAUACGUGCUUAUGGAAAAGAACUUGCAUAACAUCUAUUGUCCAUCCCUCCCGUGGCAGCGGGGUCCUAAUGGAAACUAAGGGAUAUUAAGGUCUCCUUUUAAUAGAGAACCGGAACAAAGCAUUAGCACAUAGUGAAUACAUGAACUCCUCAUACUAUGGUCAUCUCCGGGAGUGGUUCCGGCUAUUGUCACUCCGGGGUUGACGGGUCAUAACACAUAGUAGGUGACUACAACUUGCAAGAGAGGAUCAAGAACGCACAUAUAUUGAUGAAAACAUAAUAGGUUCAGAUCUGAAACCAUGGCACUCGGGCCCUAGUGACAAGCAUUAAGCAUAGCAAAGUAGUAGCUACAUCAAUCUUAGAACAUAGUGGAUACUAGGGAUCAAAGCCCAUCAAAACUAACUCGAUUACAUGAUAGAUCUCAUCCAACCCAUGACCGUCCAGCAAGCCUAUGAUGAGAUUACUCACGUAUGAUGAAGAGCAUCAUGGAAUUGGUGAUGAAGGAUGGUUGGUGAUGACGACGGCGUCGAUUUCCCCUCUCCGGAGCCCAGAACCGACUCCAGAUCUGCCCUCCAAAGGAAGAACAGGUGGUGGCGGCGGCUCUGUGUUGUGAAAUGCGAUGAACUCUUCUCUAUUAAUUUUUUCUGGGCGAGAGAGAAUAUAUAGAGCUCGAGUUGGAGGCUGCGGAGCCACGAGGGCCUCACAAGCCUGGCACGCGCGGCCUAGGGGGGUCCGCGCCUCCUGGGCUUGUGGGCUCCUGGCUCCGUGUCUCCAGGUAAUUCUUGCGCCAAUAUUUUUUAUAUAUUCAACAAAAAAUCCUCGUAAGUUUCCAGGUCAUUCCGAGAACUUUUUUUUCUGUGCAAAAACAACACCAUGGCAAUUCUGCUAAAAACAACGCCAGCCCGGGUUAGUUCCAUUCAAAUCAUGCAAAUUAGAGUCCAAAACAAGGGCAAAAGAGUUUGGAAAAGUAGAUACGAUGGAGACGUAUCAAUGUACCAAGACAUCCGUGAAAGAUUCUGGUGGCUAAAUAUGGAACAAGACAUUGCAUGCUAUGUUGCAGAAUGUGAGGUUUCCCGACGAAUCAAGGCAGAACAUCAAAAGCGUGCUCGAACUCUACAACCCAUCUCUAUUCCUGAAUGGAAAUGGGACCCUGUUGAAAUGGACUUUGUCACUGGUUUGCCCAGAUCUCAGAAAGGUAAUGACGCUAUGCUUGUCGUCAUUGACCAAUUGUCCAAAGUUGCACAUUUUCUCGUCGUCAAAGAAACAAUUACUGCUAGUCAACUGGCAGAUCUUUAUAUGUCCAGAAUUGUGUCACUUCACGGUAUUCCGUUGGUAAUUAGCUCAGUCAUGGCAGCUUGUUCACUUCAAAAUUCUGGGGACUCGUCUGUCCAUGAGCACCGCAUUUCACCCUCAAUCCCAGGGACAAGUUGAACGAGUCAACCAAAUUCUCAAAGACAUGCUUCGAGCUUGUGUCAUUUCUUUCGGUAAGAAAUGGGAGGAAUCUCUCCCGUAUGCCGAGUUCUCCUACAACAAUAGCUAUCAAGCUAGUGUGAAGAUGGCCCCUUUUGAAGUAUUAUAUGGACGAAGGUGUCGAACUCCUCUGAAUUGGUCAGAAACUAGGGAACGAUCACUCUUCUGUCCGGAUAUUAUCCAACACGCCGAAGAUCAAGUCCGCAUUAUUCAUGAGAAUCUGAAGGCUGCUCAGUCUCGUCAGAAAAGUCAGUAUGACCGUCAUCACCAAGAUAUGGUCUAUCAACGUGGCGAAAAGGCUUAUCUUCGUGUCACACCAAUGAGAGGUGCACACUGUUUUGGGAUCAAGGACAAGCUUGCUCCUCGCUAUAUUAGUCCAUUCACGGUUCUCGAAAGGCGUGGAAAAGUAACUUAUCGAUUGGAACUACUAGUGGACCUUUUUCACAUUCACGAUGUCUUCCAUGUGUUUCAACUCCGUUGCUGUUUGAAAGAUCCUGUUCGAGCAGUGGAUCAUGAUAUGCUUGAGCUGCAACAAGACCUCUCUUAUAAGGAGCAUGCGCUCCGCAUUCUCGAUCAGACUAAACGUCAGACUCAUUGAAACGUCACCAAGUUCCUUAAAGCGCACUGUCAAAUCAUUCUGGAGAUGAAGCCACUUGGGAAUGCGAGGAUCAUCUUCGUGAUGAAUACCCCGAGCUCUUUCCUUCUACCUCUUAAUUCUCGGGACGAGAAUUCUUGUUAGUAGGGGAGAGUUGUGACAUCCUCGGAUUAUGCUACAGUAGUCAUUCUAAUUAAGCUAUAGUAAUGGUCAAGAUUAAGAUAAUGCUUUUGCUAAUCCAGUUAUGAUCACUGUUGGAAUCAAACUCUGAUUCAAUUUAUUUUGCAAUUCAAAUUCAUUUUUAAAAGUGGGUAUAAAAGUUUUGCAAACUUCAUAUUCAAAAUCAUGGUUAGGUUGCAAAUAUUCCAUAAACUUUUAUAAAAUAUAAAACAACAUUUUUGUAAGUAUUUAACAUCUCUAAAACAAUUAAAACAAAAGCCAAAAUAAUAAAUAAGAGGGCUUUUGACUAAUGAAAAUAUCCAAACUUAUUUCAGUUGCCCCAAAACUUUUUGGCGACACUACCUAUUAUACAACAUGAAUAAUGAACCAAGUUACAAAAAAUACAAAGGUAUUUUUAUAUUAAAAAUAAUACUGAAAAGUUUUGUGUAUAAAAAAUAAAUUAAAACAAUAAUAAAGAAAGAGAAAACAAAUACCCCCCCACUGGGCCAGCCCCAAGUGGGCCAACCGGCCCACCUAAGCCCCAGCCAGCCCACCCCACAUGUGGUAUAAAAGCCUCGAGGAAACCCUAAACCGUCCCCACUCCCUCACUCACUACCUCCUCCCCCACCAGGCCCCUCCCUGGCGGCUUGAUACGUCUCCAACGUAUCUAUAAUUUUUGAUGGUUUCAUGCUAUUAUCUUGUCAAACUUUGGAUGUUUCGUAUGCCUUUUAUAUAUUUUUUGGGACUAACUUAUUAACUCAGUGCCAAGUGCCAGUUCCUGUUUUUUCCAUGUUUUUGACCCCUUUCAGAGGAGGAUUUUAAACGGAGUCCAAACGGAACGAAACUGCCACAAAGAUUUUUUUCGAAACAGAAAAAGAUCGGGAAGCCUGAGAAUCAGGGCAGGGGCCACCAGGGACCCCACAAGCCCCCUAGCCACGGCUAGGGGGGCCCGCACCUCCCAGGCUUGUGGGCUCCCUCGGCCUCCUCUGCCCUAGUUCUUUCGCAUAUAAAUUCCCUAAAAUCCUAGAAAAAAUCAGCAGAUCAUCGAACGUACUUUUCCGCCGCCGCAAACUUCUGUCUCCGCAAGAUCCCAUCUGGGGCACGUUCUGGUGCCCUGCCGGAGGGGGGAUUCAGAUACGGAGGGCUUCUCCAUCAACACCAUGACCUCUCCGAUGAUGCGUGAGUAGUUCGCCAUAGACCUACGGGUCAUAGCUAGUAGCUAGAUGGCUUCUUCUCUCUCUUGGAUCUUUAAUACAAAGUUCUCCAUGAUCUUCAUGGAGAUCUAUCCGAUGUAAUCUUCUUUUGCGGUGUGUUUGUCGAGAUCCGAUGAAUUGUGGAUUUAUGAUCAGAUUAUCUAUGAAUCUUAUUUGAGUUUCUUCCGAUCUCUCUUAUGCAUGAUUUCAUAUCCUUGUAAUUCUCUUCGACUUGUGGGUUUUGUUUGGCCAACUAGAUCUAUGAUUCUUGCAAUGGGAGAAGUGCUUAGUUUUGGGUUCAUACCGUACGGUGACCUCACUCAGUGAUAGAAGGGGUAGCGAGGCACGCAUCGUGUUGUUGCCAUCAAGGGUAAAAAGAUGGGGUUUUUAUCAUUAGUUUGAGAUUAUCCCUCUACAUCAUGUCAUCUUGCUUAAGGCGUUACUCUGUUCGUCAUGAACUCAAUACACUAGAUGCAUGAUGGAUAGCGGUCGAUGUGUGGAGUAAUAGUAGUAGAUGCAGAAAGUAUCGGUCUACUUGUCUCGGACGUGAUGCCUAUAUGUAUGAUCAUUGUCUUAGAUAUCGUCAUGACUUUGCGCGGUUCUAUCAACUGCUCGACAGUAAUUUGUUCACCCACCGUAAUAUUUGCUAUUUUGAGAGAAGCCUCUAGUGAACACUAUGGCCCCCGGGUCUACUCCACACCAUAUUUUCAGCCUUACACUUUUACUUCGUUGCACUUCCCGCCUUCAGAUCUCACUUUGCAAUCAAUCUUGAAGGGAUUGACAACCCCUUUAUAGUGUUGGUUGCAAGCUCUUUUGUGUUUGCGCAGUUACUCUGGACUUGACGAGAUUCUCCUACUGGAUUGAUACCUUGGUUCUCAAACUGAGGGAAAUACUUACUGCUCCUGUGCUGCAUCACCCUUUCCUCUUCAAGGGAAAAAACCAACGCAAGCAAGUCUCCGUCAACGUGUCAAUUUCUGGCGCUGUUGUUUGAGAAGUAGCAGAAGGAUUUCUGGCGCCAUUGCCGGGGAGGAUCAAGUCAAGAACUCAUCCAAGUAAGUGUCGCAAACUCAUCUCUUGCAUUUACUUUGUUUGCCAGUUGCCUCUCGUUUUCCUCUCCCCCACUUCUGAAAAACAAAAAUUUACAAAAAAAUAUUUGCCCUUUUCUUCGUUUACCUUUCCUUUGCUUGUGUGAUAUGUGCCUUCAAUAUGCUUGCAUCUUCGCUUAAUGAAAAUCUAUUGAUAUGGAUCCUCAUCCACUUGCUAAUCUCUUUAAGAGAUCCAAUUAUGUUNNNNNNNNNNNNNNNNNNNNNNNNNNNNNNNNNNNNNNNNNNNNNNNNNNNNNNNNNNNNNNNNNNNNNNNNNNNNNNNNNNNNNNNNNNNNNNNNNNNNGGUCCAAGGACUCCCAAGGGAGUCGGCCGAGCCAAGGGGGAAGGUCUCCCCCUCCCAAACCGAAAUCCACUUGGUUUGGAAGGUGGAGUCCUUCUUCCCUUUCCCACCUCCUUCUUUUUUUUUCCUUUCCUCUUUGAUUUUCUUUCCUAUGCGCAUAGGCCUCUCUUGGGCUGUCUCACCAGCCCACUAAGGGCUGGUGUGGAACCCCAAACACCCAUGGGNNNNNNNNNNNNNNNNNNNNNNNNNNNNNNNNNNNNNNNNNNNNNNNNNNNNNNNNNNNNNNNNNNNNNNNNNNNNNNNNNNNNNNNNNNNNNNNNNNNNNNNNNNNNNNNNNNNNNNNNNNNNNNNNNNNNNNNNNNNNNNNNNNNNNNNNNNNNNNNNNNNNNNNNNNNNNNNNNNNNNNNNNNNNNNNNNNNNNNNNNNNNNNNNNNNNNNNNNNNNNNNNNNNNNNNNNNNNNNNNNNNNNNNNNNNNNNNNNNNNNNNNNNNNNNNNNNNNNNNNNNNNNNNNNNNNNNNNNNNNNNNNNNNNNNNNNNNNNNNNNNNNNNNNNNNNNNNNNNNNNNNNNNNNNNNNNNNNNNNNNNNNNNNNNNNNNNNNNNNNNNNNNNNNNNNNNNNNNNNNNNNNNNNNNNNNNNNNNNNNNNNNNNNNNNNNNNNNNNNNNNNNNNNNNNNNNNNNNNNNNNNNNNNNNNNNNNNNNNNNNNNNNNNNNNNNNNNNNNNNNNNNNNNNNNNNNNNNNNNNNNNNNNNNNNNNNNNNNUAGGGCAUAUUUCCAACAGUCUCCCACUUGCACUAGAGUCAAUAAUCUAGUUCACAUCACCAUGUGAUUCCGACGAAUCCAACACCCAUAUAGUUAUGGGGUCUGAUCACGUCUUGCUCGUGAGAGAGGUUUUAGUCAACGGUUCUGAAACUUUCAGAUCCGUGCGUUCUUUACAAAUCUUUACGUCAUCUUAUAGAUGCUGCUACUACGUGCUAUUUGGAAAUGCUCCAAAUAUCUACUCUACUAUAUGAAUCCAUUUCACUACUCAUAGUUAUUCGGAUUAGUGUCAAAGCUUGCAUCGACGUAACCCUUUACGACGAACUCUUUAACCACCUCCAUAAUCGAGAAAAAUUCCUUAGUCCAUUAGUUACUAAGGAUAAAUUUUGACCGCUGCUAGUGAUUCAAUCAUGGAUCACUCUCUGUACCUCUCAACAUACUUUGAGUCAAGGCACACAUCAGGUGCGGUACACAGCAUGGCAUACUUUAGAUCUACGGCUAAGGCAUAGAAGACGACCUUCGUCUAUUCUCUUUAUUCUGCCGUGGUCAGGUUUUGAGUCUUACUCAAAUUCACACCUUACAACGCAACCAAGAACUCCUUCUUUACUGAUCUAUUUUGAACUCCUUCAAAAACUUGUCAAGGCAUGCAUCUUGUUGAAACUUCUAUUAAGCGCUUUCGAUCUAUCUCCAUAGAUCUUUGAUGCUCAACGUUCAAGUAGCGCAAUCUAGGUAUUCCUUUGAAAAACUUCUUUCAAACAACCUUGUAUGCUUUACAGAAAUUCUACAUUACUUCUGAUCCACAAUAUGUCAACCACAUAUACUUAUCAGAAAUUCUAUAGUGCUCCCACUCACUUCUUUGGAAAUACAAGUUUCUCAUAAACCUUGUACAAACCCAAAAUCUUUGAUCAUCUCAUCAAAGUAUAUAUAUUCCAACUCCGAGAUGCUUGCACCAGUCCAUUGAAGGAUCGCUGGAGCUUGCAUACUUGCUAGUAUCUUUAGGAUCGACAAAACCUCCUGGUUGUAUCACAUACAAUGUUUGCUCAAGGAAACCGUCGAGGAAACAAUGUUUUGGCAUCCUACGUGCAAUAUUUCAUAAAUAAUGCAUCAACAACUAACAUAAUUCUAACAGACCUUUAGCAUCGCUACGAGUGAGAAAGUCUCAUCAUAGUCAACUGUUUGAUCUUGUCGAAAACAUCUUUGCGACAAGUCAAGCUUUUCUUAAUAGUGACUUAUCACCAUCAUCGUCUGUUUUCCUUUAAAGAUCCAUCUUUACUCAAUAGUCCUAUGACCAUCAAGUAAUUCUUCCAAAGUCUACACUUUGUUUUCAUCCAUGGAUCCUCUCUCGGAUUUCAUGGCUUCCAGCCAUUUGUCGGAAUCUCGGCCCACCAUCGCUUUCUCCAUAACUCGUAGGUUCACUGUUGCUCAACAACAUGACCUCCAAGACAGGGUUACCGUACUACUCUGCAGCAGUACGCGACCUUGUCGACCUACGAGGUUUGUAGUAACUUGAUUCGAAGCUCAAUGAUCACCAUCAUCAGCUUCCAUUUCAAUUGGUGUAAGCGCCACAGGAACAACUUCCUGCGCCCUGCUACACACUAGUUGAAGUGAUGGUUCAAUAACCUCAUCAAGUUCUACUACCCUCCCACUCAAUUCUUUCGAGAGAAACCUUUCCUCGAGAAAGGAUCCGUUUCUAGAAACAAACACUUUGCUUUCGGAUCUGAGAUAGGAGAUGUACCCAACUGUUUUGGAUACCCUAUGAAGAAGCAUUUAUCCGCUUUGGGUUCGAGCUUAUCAGACUGAAACUUUUUCACAUAAGUGUCGAAACCCCAAACUUUCAAGAAACGACAGUUUAGAUUUCUCUAAACCUCAGUCUAUACUGUGUCAUCUCAACGGAAAUACGCGGUGCCCUAUUUAAAGUGAGUGUGGUUGUCUCUAAUGCAUAACCCAUAAACGAUAGUGGUAAUUCGAUAAGAGACAUCAUAGUAUGCACCAUACCAAAUAGUGCAUGGCUAUGACGUUCAGACACAUCAUCACACUAUGAUGUUCCAGGUGGCAUGAACUGCGAAACAAUUUCCACAUUGUCUUAACUGCGUACCAAAACUCGUAACUCAGAUAUUCAUUUCUAUGAUCAUAUCGUAGACAGUUUAUCCUCUUGUUACCACGAACUUCACUCUGAAACGGAUUUGAACUUUUCAACAUUUCAGACUUGUGAUUCAUUAAGUAAAUACUCUUGUAUCUACUCAAAUCGUCAGUGAAGUAAGAACAUAAUGAUAUCCACUGCGUGCCUCAGUACUCAUUGGACUGCAUACAUCAAUAUGUAUCACUUCCAACAAGUUACUAUCUUAUUUCAUCUCAAUGAAAACAAGGCCUUGCUCAUGUGGUAUGGUUUGCAUGUCACUAGUGAUUCGAAAUCAGGUGAGUACAAAGAUCCAUCAGCAUGGAGCCUCUUCAUGCAAUUUAUACUAACAUGACUCAAGCGGCAGUGCCACAAGUAAGUGGUACUAUCAUCAUUAACUCGUAUCUUUUUGGCACCAAUAUUAUGAACAUGUGUAACACUACGAUCGAGAUUCAAUAAACCAUUGAAGGUGAAUAUUCAAGAAAAUAGAGUAACCAUUAUUCUCCUUAAAUGAAUAAUCGUAUUGCAAUAAACACGAUCCAAUCAUGUUCAUGCUUAACGCAAGCACCAAAUAACAAUUAUUUAGGUUUAACACCAAUCCCGAUGGUAGAGGGAGCGUGCGACGUUUGAUCAUAUCAACCUUGGAAACACUUCCAACACAUAUCGUCACCUCGCCUUUAGCUAGUCUCCGUUUAUGCCGUAGCUUUCAUUUCGUGUUACUAAUCACUUAGCAACCGAACCGGUAUCCAAUACCCUCAUGCUACUAGGAGUACUAGUAAAGUACACAUCAACAUCAUGUAUAUCAAGUACACUUCUUUCAACUUUCGCCAGCCUUCUUAUCUACCAAGUAUCUAGAGUUGCUCCGCCUCAGUGACUGUUCCCCUCAUUACAGAAGCACUUAGUCUCGGGUUUGGGUUUAAUCUUGGGUCUCUUCAUUAGUGCAGCAACUGUUUUGCCGUUUCACGAAGUAUCCCUUCUAGCCCUUGCCUUUCUUGAAACUUAGUGGUUUUACAAACCAUCAACUAUUGACGUUCCUUCUUGAUUUCUACUUUCACAUUGUCAAACAUCGCGAAUCGCUCAAGGAUCAUUGUAUCUAUCCUUGAUAUGUUAUAGUUCAUCACGAAGCUCUCACAGCUUGGUGGUAGUGACUUUGGAGAACCAUCACUAUCUCAUCUGGAAGAUUAACUCCCACUUGAUUCAAGUGAUUGUUGUACUCAGACAAUUCUAGCACAUGCUCAACGAUUGAGCUUUUCUCCUUUACUUUGUGGACAAAGAAUCUUGUUGGAGGUCUCGUACCUCUUAACAAGGGCACAAGCAUGAAAUCACAAUUUCAUCUCUUUAGAACAUCACUUAUGUUCUGUGACGUUUUACAACGUUUUCGGCGUCUUGCUUCUAAGCCAUUAAGUAUUUUGCACUGAACUAUCGUGUAGUCAUCAGAAACGUGUAUGUCGGAUGUUCAUAGCAUCCACAGACGACGCUCGAGGUGCAGCACACCGAGUGGUGCAUUAAGGACAUAAGCCUUCUGCGUAGCAACGAGGACAAUCCUCGGUUUUACAGACUCAGUCUGCAAAGUUUGCUACUAUCAAUUUUCAACUAAAUUUUCUCUAGGAACAUAUAAAAACAGUAGAGCUAUAGCGCAAGCUACAUCGUAAUUCGCAAAGACCAUUAGACUAUGUUCAUGACAAUUAGUUCAAUUAAUCAUAUUACUUAAGAACUCCCACUCAAAAAAUACAUCGCUCUAGUCAUUUGAGUGGUACAUGAUCCAAAUCCACUAUCUCAAGUCCGAUCAUCACGUGAGUCAAGAAUAGUUUCAGUGGUAAGCAUCUCUAUGCUAAUCAUAUCAACUAUACGAUUCAUGCUCGACCUUUCGGUCUCAUGUGUUCCGAGGCCAUGCCUGCACAUGCUAGGCUCGUCAAGCUUAACCCGAGUGUUCCGCGUGCGCAACUGUUUUGCACCCGUUGUAUGUGAACGUUGAGUCUAUCACACCCGAUCAUCACGUGGUGUCUCGAAACGACGAACUGUAGCAACGAUGCACAGUCGGGGAGAACACAAUUUCGUCUUGAAAUUUUAGUGAGAGAUCACCUCAUAAUUCUACCGUCGUUCUAAGCAAAAUAAGGUGCAUAAAAGGAUUAACAUCACAUGCAAUUCAUAAGUGACAUGAUAUGGCCAUCAUUACGUGCUUCUUGAUCUUCAUCACCAAAGCACCGGCACGAUCUUCUUGUCACCGGCGUCACACCAUGAUCUCCAUCAUCAUGAUCUCCAUCAAUGUGUCGCCAUCGGGGUUGUCGUGCUACUCAUGCUAUUACUACUAAAGCUACGUCCUAGCAAAAUAGUAAACGCAUCUGCAAGCACAAACGUUAGUUAUAAAGACAACCCUAUGGCUCCUGCCGGUUGCCGUACCAUCGACGUGCAAGUCGAUAUUAACUAUUACAACAUGAUCAUCUCAUACAUCCAAUAUAUCAAAUCACAUCGUUGGCCAUAUCACAUCACAAGCAUACCCUGCAAAAACAAGUUAGACGUCCUCUAAUUUUGUUGUUGCAUGUUUUACGUGGUGACCAUGGGUAUCUAGUAGGAUCGCAUCUUACUUACGCAAACACCACAACGGAGAUAUAUGAAUUGCUAUUUAACCUCAUCCAAGGACCUCCUCGGUCAAUUCCGAUUCAACUAAAGUUGGAGAAACUGACACCCGCCAGUCAUCUUUGAGCAACUGAGUUACUCGUAGCGAUGAAACCAGUCUCUCGUAAGCGUACGAGUAAUGUCGGUCCGAGCCGCUUCGAUCCAACAAUACCGCGGAAUCAAGAAAAGACUAAGGAGGGCAGAAAAACGCACAUCACCGUCCACAAAAUCUUUUGUGUUCUACUCGAGAAGACAUCUACGCAUGAACCUAGCUCAUGAUGCCACUGUUGGGGAACGUCACAAGGGAAACAAAAAAUUUCCUACGCGCACGAAGACCUAUCAUGGUGAUGUCCAUCUACGAUAGAGGAUGAGUGAUCUACGUACCCUUGUAGAUCGUACAGCAGAAGCGCUUAGAGAACGCGGUUGAUGUAGUGGAACGUCCUCACGUCCCUCGAUCCGCCCCGCGAACAAUCCCGCGAUCAGUCCCACGAUCUAGUACCGAACGAACGGCACCUCCGCGUUCAGCACACGUACAGCUCGACGAUGAUCUCGGCCUUCUUGAUCCAGCAAGAGAGACGGAGAGGUAGAAGAGUUCUCCGGCAGCGUGACGGUGCUCCGGAGGUUGGUGAUGACCUUGUCUCAGCAGGGCUCCGCCCGAGCUCCGCAGAAACGCGAUCUAGAGGAAAAACCGUGGAGGUAUGUGGUCGGGCUGUCGUGGAAAAGUCGUCUCAAAUCAGCCCUAAAACCCCACUAUAUAUAGGAGGAGGAGGGGGGAGACUUGCCUUGGGGUCCAAGGACUCCCAAGGGAGUCGGCCGAGCCAAGGGGGAAGGUCUCCCCCUCCCAAACCGAAAUCCACUUGGUUUGGAAGGUGGAGUCCUUCUUCCCUUUCCCACCUCCUUCUUUUUUUUCCUUUCCUCUUUGAUUUUCUUUCCUAUGCGCAUAGGCCUCUCUUGGGCUGUCUCACCAGCCCACUAAGGUCUGGUGUGGCACCCCAAACACCCAUGGGNNNNNNNNNNNNNNNNNNNNNNNNNNNNNNNNNNNNNNNNNNNNNNNNNNNNNNNNNNNNNNNNNNNNNNNNNNNNNNNNNNNNNNNNNNNNNNNNNNNNGGGAGAGGAUCCUCUCUAUGAAGUAGCCUACUCUCUAUAUAUAAUGGUGGCCCGUAUCCUCUUCCCUUAUCGCAAGGGCGGGAAGGGAUCCCACAAUGGCCAAUUUUGAAGGGAACAGGGGAACAUGCUCCCCCUGUCCAAAUAUGGUCUUCGCCUCCAAAGUGGCUGCCAGCGCUGCAGAAACGGGACCAGGGAUGACGUCCGUCCUGCUGGCGGCGAUGGUGCCUUGUUGCACUAGAAUGGAAACCUUUGGAAGAUGCCUUGGGAACCCGUAUACGCCCUUCCCUCUUUUGCGUGAAAGGGGAAACUACACCAUCCUGCAAUCCACUGCUCGCUUGUCCUUUCCCCGCGUCAUCCUUGACUCGUGAGGCCGGGUCUUGCCUCGUAAUCACCGCCACUCCGGAGGGGUCCUGAGGAGGCCCCCCUUGGGUCUUGAUGUUGUUCCUCCUCACGAGGCUUGGCCCCUUGCGAGGGCCUUGCCUUGAGUGGUGUCGGGCCUACUGGUUUUCGGUCGAUGAAGUGGGCCAGUCCUGGGCCGCGGGCAAGAAGGUCUGGGUACCCCCAUUCCCAGAACACCGACAGUAGUCCCCGGACCCAAGGUGCGUCUGGGCUGGCUUCUCGGCGAAGCCUUGAGGGCGGCAUGAAGCGUCGCGGGCCCUAAUUGCGUGCGGGCCACGCGGCACACCACAAUGGCACGAUCUCCAAGAAACACGUCGACCAUCAUUGUUACUCAUUGAAUGACAUUUGUGAGGCGACGUGCGCGGCAAUGCGCCCGCCAGCCCACCUCGCGGCCCUCGAGGGGCGCGCGAUGCUCGCGCUCCCACAACGGUUGGUCGACGGGUUCGCCUAUAAAUCUGCCCCGCCCCUAGCUAGGGGAGGCAUUGCGAUCUUGACCUUACUCCUUACUUCCUUUGCUCGACCGAGAGAAACAUCUUCCCCCCUUUGUCUCUUGGUCUUCCAUGGCGUCUCCGGGAUGCGAUCCUGGCAGGGGGAAAUGCACAGCUCCGUACGCGCCCUCGUCCGCCCCCGGGAGCAGCGGCGGAGGGCCCUCAGGGUCGUCGUGCGUCCUCCGCCACUGGCUCUGACCGAUGAGUAAUUUCCUCAUUUGCACCCCCUUUCCUUGUUGUCCCAUUUGCUGCUUGGUGGUUGAUCUUCCCUUUUCUCCAGAGCGCGUGCAGCCAAGAAGCUCAAGCUCAGCGAGCUUUAGGAGGAGGCGGAAGGGCUGCAGGCUCAGCUCAAGAGUGCCAAGGCCGCCCUCCAGGCCGCCCGCCAGGGCGAACCGAAGGCCAAGGCGGAGUUGGCGUCGCUAUAGAGACAGAUCCCGGAGGCGGCCGACGCCAUUCAGGCCGCCCAGGAUGAGGCAGCAUACGCCCGGAUGAUGGAGUCCCAGCGUGCCAAGCAGUUCGAGAGCAUCGCCCACCGGGCGACUGGCGUGACGUGUCGGUUCGUGGGGGAUGCCUCGGCGCUGCCAAGGGUGAGCAGCGAUGGGGGCUACCUCUCCUUCUUCUAGAAGGUAGUGGAGACACUAGAGGCCAGUGCCUCCCGCGUGGAGGAGGACAACGCGUCCGACGCGCGCGAGUUUCUGGGACUUGCCUUGACGCUCAUCUUCUCCAAUCUGCGUCGCGUCGUCUCGCGGCUUGAUCUCUAGUGCGUCGUCGAGCCGGUGCCCGCUGAGUCCCGGCGUCUUCUUUGGGAUGAAGUGCGCCCACGUUGGACGCCCUCGUGGAGCGGUACGUCCAGGUGCCCGUCUCCACUGAGGAGGAGGACUCCGACGCCGAGCCUGCCAGCACGAAGGGCGAUGUCGGCAACCUCUCCCCCUAGGCAUCCUCCGGCUUCUGUUUUCCUGCCCCUGUAAGGUUGGACCAUGAACACUGCCCUGUCGGGCAUUAUACUUUUGUAUGUUACCUUCGUUGUUCUUCCUUUUUCCUUUCACUCUUGAAUUGAUGGCUUGCUCGCUGGUAGUCGACAGGGCUUGGCUCCCUUGCAUAGGGCCCGUCGAUGACCCCGCCGUCGCUCGGGGGGGACGACGACCAGGGCCCUCAGGAGGUCCCAUCCUCCCGAGGCAUCAUUUGUGCCACUGCACGCUUGGUCGAUGGCCUCGUUCCUUACCGUAGCUUAGUCCUUAGGCCAUGCAUCCUUUCAUUAGUACGCGUGUUUUUAAUUCAUUCUUGGUUUGACGCGAAACCAGAUGGCCCCCGUUUGAGAUAGUGGGGUACUUAGCUCGUGGGUUUGCACCGUCCCUUCCGCAGCUCCUCCUGAGUGGCUCCUGCUUUUUCGAUGGGACGGGGUGGAGACCCUUUCGGCACUCUAUGUCUACGGGUCCCAGUCCCGCACAUUUCCCUGCCGCCAUGAGGCGCAACCCGUUACCAAGGUUGUUCCUCAUGGGGCAAAGCCCCGACGCCCUAGGUGCCGACAUGGGCGACACCUGGGUGGCCGAGUGGCUUUGUGAACAGUAAGGCCCUGAGGCAUGUUGCUCAGGAGCCCCCCUUGACACUCAAGCCGCUCUACAUUGACAGACCCCAGUCCCGCACAUUUCCCCACCGCCGUUAGGUUCGACGCACUUCAUGGGGCAGGACCCCGCUGCCCCCGACACCGACCGGAGUUCCAAGAUGGCACUAGGGGUGGUGAGUGGCCUUAUGACCGGUAAGGNNNNNNNNNNNNNNNNNNNNNNNNNNNNNNNNNNNNNNNNNNNNNNNNNNNNNNNNNNNNNNNNNNNNNNNNNNNNNNNNNNNNNNNNNNNNNNNNNNNNNNNNNNNNNNNNNNNNNNNNNNNNNNNNNNNNNNNNNNNNNNNNNNNNNNNNNNNNNNNNNNNNNNNNNNNNNNNNNNNNNNNNNNNNNNNNNNNNNNNNNNNNNNNNNNNNNNNNNNNNNNNNNNNNNNNNNNNNNNNNNNNNNNNNNNNNNNNNNNNNNNNNNNNNNNNNNNNNNNNNNNNNNNNNNNNNNNNNNNNNNNNNNNNNNNNNNNNNNNNNNNNNNNNNNNNNNNNNNNNNNNNNNNNNNNNNNNNNNNNNNNNNNNNNNNNNNNNNCCGGUAAGGGUCCUGAGUCUCGAUGCUCAGGAUCCCCCUUUGACGUUUGAGCGAUUCCCCAUUCCGUCCCUUUGGUCAUCUCCCCAGGGUGCCCUGAGGCCUCCUGAGACUCUUUGUGGUGGUAUCGUGCUUCGGUCUGGGCCCCGAGCAAGGUUCAACCGCUGAAAAUGUUUGCCCUUAGUACGGCAAGUCCUUGCUUACGCUCCAUGGCGCCUAGGGGCGGUGCAGAGCGUUCAGCUCAGAAAAUGUCAUCCAGAAAAGGAGGCUCCAAAGCCGGCGAAACGAGAAAGCGCAAGAGAAAAUCCCCCCCCCCCNNNNNNNNNNNNNNNNNNNNNNNNNNNNNNNNNNNNNNNNNNNNNNNNNNNNNNNNNNNNNNNNNNNNNNNNNNNNNNNNNNNNNNNNNNNNNNNNNNNNNNNNNNNNNNNNNNNNNNNNNNNNNNNNNNNNNNNNNNNNNNNNNNNNNNNNNNNNNNNNNNNNNNNNNNNNNNNNNNNNNNNNNNNNNNNNNNNNNNNNNNNNNNNNNNNNNNNNNNNNNNNNNNNNNNNNNNNNNNNNNNNNNNNNNNNNNNNNNNNNNNNNNNNNNNNNNNNNNNNNNNNNNNNNNNNNNNNNNNNNNNNNNNNNNNNNNNNNNNNNNNNNNNNNNNNNNNNNNNNNNNNNNNNNNNNACCCCCCCCCCCAUUUUGUUUUUCAAACAUCAACUUUGAAAUCAGCAAAUUUAAGUCUAGCAGAGGAUAAUUCAAGCUCCAGGAAGAGGCAAGCAUACGCCGCAUCUGGCACCUAGGCUAAUCUCCGCCGCCAUCUCCCCCAGUUGCGGGCAUAGUCAUUGGCGGACUAAGUUGAUUGCCUCUGUAUUCUCCGCAGCAUGGAGCGUAGGGCUGCCACUAGGCGUGGGAGGGACCCCUCCGUGUCCUCGAGGGGGGGUGUAUACAGCCGCAGCUCGUUAUUACGUGANNNNNNNNNNNNNNNNNNNNNNNNNNNNNNNNNNNNNNNNNNNNNNNNNNNNNNNNNNNNNNNNNNNNNNNNNNNNNNNNNNNNNNNNNNNNNNNNNNNNNNNNNNNNNNNNNNNNNNNNNNNNNNNNNNNNNNNNNNNNNNNNNNNNNNNNNNNNNNNNNNNNNNNNNNNNNNNNNNNNNNNNNNNNNNNNNNNNNNNNNNNNNNNNNNNNNNNNNNNNNNNNNNNNNNNNNNNNNNNNNNNNNNNNNNNNNNNNNNNNNNNNNNNNNNNNNNNNNNNNNNNNNNNNNNNNNNNNNNNNNNNNNNNNNNNNNNNNNNNNNNNNNNNNNNNNNNNNNNNNNNNNNNNNNNNNNNNNNNNNNCAGCUCGUUAUUACGUGAGAGUGUCACGGUGGGGGUGUAUCUGGGAGGUCGCGAGGACGCUUUGGCCUCGCGAGUGUCCCUACCCCCGAGGCAUAGGCGCCUCAUUCCUUUUGAGUUAUUGGUGGACUCAGUCGGUUGCCUCCGUCUUCACCCAGCGCGGAGCAUAGGUCAUCCACUUGGCCUGGGAUGGACCCCUUCCGCGUCCUCGGGGGCCUGGGCGUAUACAGCCUCAGCUCGUUAUUACGUGAGAUUGUCACGGGAUGAAGUAGGUUCCGGAAGGAUUGAAGGACGGUGCAGAGGUGCCAGGGGUUGAUGCAGGUCCGGCGGGGACUUUAGGGCGAACGCGAGGGCGCUCCGGGCUCGCGAUGUUUCCUCCUUGGGGGCGGUUGGAUCCUUCUCCUGAGACUGGUUGACGGCUUUUCUACUGCUCUACGCCGGCAGGUCCGAGUCCUGCACAUUUCCCUGCCGUCGUGAGGCGCGACCCGUUACCAAAGUCGUUCCUCAUGGGGCAAGGCCUUGACAGCCCUGAUACCGACCGAAUGUGCCUGGACAACACCAGGGUGGCCAAGUGGCUUUGUGACCGGUAAGGCUCCCGAGGCUCGAUGCUCAGGAGCCCCCUUUGACGUUCAAGCGGCUCUGCGUCGCCAACACCCGGUCCCGCACAUUUAUCUAUCGUCAUUGCUUGCGACCAAAUGGACGAACGCAGCUAUGGGGUCAAGCCCUACCACCCCUGAUAACGACCAAAUGUCCGUGGACAACAUUGAGGAUGGCAGGUGGCCUUAUGACCGGUAAGGCUCCUGAGGCUCGAUGCUUAGGAGCCCCCUUUUAACGCUCAAGCGGCCCCCAUUUCUUCCUGUUGAUUAUGGUAUUGGGGAGCCACGCACCAUCCGGAGCCCCCGAGCAGGGGGGGUAGAUGGCCCAAAGAUGCAAGCAAGGCAAGAUGUCAGAUCGCUGAAUGGAUGUAGCAGAGGUGUGCCCUGAACACUUGAAGUUCAUGCGGCCAGCAGACACCCCCUAGAGCAGUGAACCAGAAAAUUACCUCGCAUAACUUCUUCGCGUCUGAGGGGCGCCUCGUGAGGCCCGGCCCUCGGCGCCCAAACCAGCAUCGUAGUCGCCGCGGGUGACCCGCGCCACUUGUGUCUCGUUGCUUUCUCUGACACGUCCUCCAGACGUCGGGGGCCCGGUUCUUCAUAGUUUUUUAGCUCAUGCUUUGCCAUAAACUCAUACUCUUCGACGGAAUCAUUUUGGAUCACCGCUCCAUCCGAGAAUUUGGCGACGUAUUGAUUGUAUCAAAUAUCCGGGAAUAAGAGCAGUUCAAAGGAAUUAGAAGUUGCGAAAAAAUGUACCGAGAACUUACUCUAUGUACAGUCGCACUUCUGUUAGGUUGUUGAAGAUAUACAAGGAAAUGGUCCGCCAUUCUUCGACAUCCAACAUUAUUAGUUUUGAAGCACCAGAUGGUGCGAGCUUCCCUUUGAAUAGGCUGAGGUUGGAUCCACCUUUUUUAGGGUCGCCGUCAUUGUGUUGAGGCUUCGGAUUAUGAAAAUGAUGAUUUGUGGCUUCGUAGUGUGCUGUCACGAAGUUUUCCAUCUCCUCGGUAAUGAUUGCCUCGGCCAUCAAUGCUUAAUUUUUAUGUUUAUUUUUUACAUUUUUCUAGAAGCGUCUUCUACAUCCUCUCAUUUGCAAAGCACCAAUGAUUUUGCAUGGGCCCACCCAAUCUUGCCUCGGUCGGGAGAUGUAAAAUCAAAUGUUGAGUUGGAUUAAAGAAGCCUGGUGGAAACAUCUUCUCUAACUUGCAAAGCAACUCCGGCGCCAACUCCUCCAUGUCACCUACCACGUCAAGCGAUAGUUCUUUCACACAAAGAACAUGGAAGAAAUAGCUCACUCUGUCAGUACUAGACAUUCAUCCUCGGGAAUAAGCCACGUAACAUCACCAACAUUACCCGCUCAAGCCAUAUGUGCCAAUCAUGACUCUUGAGACCAAAUAUUUUCAAUUUUUCAAGACUCGGUCCCUCUUUAGAUUCGCUGCUUACCCAUCACGGAACAUCAAGUGCAUUCUGACCCACAAGAUAAUUUACCUCAUAGCUGACCUUCCAAGAUUGAACCAGACCUUUGGCUUUGACCAGUUCUGCUUUCCUUUCGAUUGUCGCAAGUUUUGUAACGGUCUAUCACAUAGAGUGUAUUGAUCGACUCUAGUCUUAGGAUUUUCCUUUGACUUCCCCUCUGUGUCGAACAAUGUACCAAAAAUUGCCUCUCCGAUAUUAUUUUCAGUGUGCAUCAUGUUGAUGUUAUGUGGAAGAAGGAGGUCUUUGAAGUAAGGUAGAUCCCACAAGCAUGUCUUGUGAGUCCAAGCAUGUUUUGAAUUAUACCCCUUGAAAUACCCUGGACGCUCUAGAUCAGGCUCGAGAGCAUUUAACUGAUCCAGGAUCUGUUGGUGUGUCAACGCAGGUGGUGGUGAGUUUUUGACAACUUUGCCUUUGAUAAAGUUCAUCUUGUCUUUUCCAAACUGAUGGCGAGGGUCCAGGAACUGGCUAUGCAAGUCAAAGCAAGAAUACUUCCGACCCGCCUACAGCCAAUGAAACUGAAGAGUUUCCUUGCAUGUGGGGCAUGGGAACCUUACAUGCACACACCAGCGAGCGAAUAGCGCAUACGUCGGCAAGUCGCGCAUCGAGUACAUGUACCAUACAUGCAUUUUUAAGUUUUCUUUUCUAGCAGCGUCAUAUGUCUUGAACCCAUUAUCCCAAGCUUCUUGCAAUUCAUCCUUAAGCGAAUGCAUGUACGUAUUCAUAUUCUUCCUCGGAUAGUUGGGUCGUGGAAUUAUCAACGUCACGAAUAUGUUCUUUCUUUACAUAAUCUGUCCGGGGGGAUUGAGUGAAAUGACAAAUACAGGCCAACUAUUGUAUUGGGUUGUCUUCAUACCAGAGGGAUUGAACCCAUCAGUGGCAACACAGACUCGAGGAUGCCUUGGAUCUGCCGCUUUAUCCAAAUGUAAUGCAUCGAAGUGCUUCCAUGCUUCUGCAUUUGAUGUGUCUACCGACAUCUUAUUCCCAUAUGCAUCUAGUUCGGUUCUUUUGCCCAAUUUGUGCCAUGUCAUCUGUCUGUCCGUCUCUUCAAACAUGAAAAUACGUUGAAGUCUUGGUAUGAUUGGCAUAUACCGAAGAACAUUAUCUGGGAUUUGGGUCUGGCUCUUCUCACCCAUAUCAUUGUGUACCAUAACAUACCUGGAAAACUUGCAAAUGGGACAAUAGUUCAAGUCCACAUACUCAAAGCCUAAAUAAGGCACAUCCUUUAUCACAUGCAUUUAUCUUCUCAUAGGGCAUCUUAAGUACACGAAGUAUUUUUGUCCAACUUGUACAUAUUUGCACGCAUGACAUGGCCUUUGCAUAGAAAGCGCCCAAAUAAUGUCAUCAUCGCGUCGUAGCAUUCUCUUACCAAGUUGAAUUGAGCCUUCAGAGCCAUUACUUGUGCAAUGGCAUCCAGUUGACAAAGCUUAGUGUGCUCAUGGAGAGGACGUUUUGAAGACUCCAACAUUUCACAGAAGAAUUUUGCAGAUUCAUCCAUCUCAUCGUCCGAAUCUUGAGCAUCAUCAAAGUCUUGCAUGAUGUCUUUGACUUGGUACCAUGCUCGUCCGUGGGACGACGAACCACCUCAGCUCUGGUUUGUUGUCUAGCCAUUUGCAAAUGCGGCUUUCACAAACUCCUUGGUUUUUGUAAAUUAUUCUUUGGUCAUCUCUUUCUGAUUAGUGUGACCGACGUACAUCCAUUCAUGAUCACUCAUCUUGCCUAGCUACUAAACACACAAGAUAUAUAUAUAUAUAUAUAUAAUUUAGCAUAUAUAUUCAUCAGUUAAUCAAGUUUUUCAGUUUUAUUACGUCCAUGCAACCUACACGCUAAUAGGUAAAGAUAGGUCCUAAUCGCACCCAAGUAUGUGUAUAUUGAGUUCGUUUUCCCAUGAUCUGCUCCGGAUCCGACGCAAAAUUUUGGCAGCACCUCCCCGUUGUUCUCCUGAUACACGUCUCAAUAAUAAACAUAAAUGAUGUGUACCCGGAGAACAAUAGGGAGGCACUAAUGAAAUUAUGCAUCGGAUCGAGAGUAGAGCAUAUGGGAAAAUGAACCCAAUCUACACAUACCCGGGUUGUCCAUGGAUAAUGUUUGACAGUUUGGAAGAAUCGCGGUUAUAAAUAUAUGCAAAUGCAUGCAUAUUUAUAACUAUAACCCUCUCGAACGGGAGACGCAUACUGGUCACGCAUACUGAUGAUUUAAUGUACCUAUAUCUAGCAAGUUUCAUCGGCACGAAGACCGACUCAGAGCAAAUGAAGUGGGGAGGAGGAGAUGUCAUUUGUUCUCACCCACGAACGCAGGGGCGGAGCACGUCGAACGCACGAGGAGAUUGUCGAACAGCAGACCCUCGGGGCGACGAAAGAACUGCACAUGUAAAUCCACCAGAUGAACACAAAUAUUUUGUUUUUAUAACAAAAUCAGAAAAUAUAUGACCUAACUCAUAAUUUACGAAACUAUGACCCAGUCGGCCUGUGGAAGGCCGAAGAGGACCUUUUCGGUCAACAAGAGGCCGAAGCAGUGUUGGGGUCGGGGUGAGUGGCGUUGGGGGCGACGUAUUAACACCUGUGCGGGGGGUUGUAAUGGCGAUCUAUCAGUGACAUCUUCCCGUUGCCACAUGCAUGUGCAGGUGCCUAGUGUCGUGUCGGGGUGUUGUGUAAGGGUGUCUGGGUGUCAUGUCGGGGUGUCGGAGCGUCGUGUCGGGGUGUUGGGGUGUCGUGUAAGGCUAUCGGGGUGUCGUGUUAGGGUGCUCUGGUGUCAUUUUAUUCUUCUUCCUAUUCUUAUUUUUUUUCUCUUUUCCUCUUCUUCCUUUUCUUCUUCUUCUUCUUCUUCUUCUUCCUCUUCUUCCUUUUCUUCCUUUUCUUCUGCUUCUUCUUCUUCUUUUUUUUUUCUUCUCCUCCUUCUUCUUUUCCUUUUUCCUCUUCUUCUUCUCCUCCUCUCCUCUUUUUCUUCUUAUCCUUCUUCUUCUUAUUCUUCUUCUUAUUAUUAUUAUUAUUANNNNUAUUAUUAUUAUUAUUAUCCUCCUCUUCUUCUUCUUCUUCUUCUCCUCUUCUCUUAUUUUUCUUCUUCUUCUUUUCUUCUCCUCCUCUUCUUCCUCUUCCUCUUCUUCCUUUUNACCAGGAGGUGGCGGCGCGGGGUAGGGCUGUGAAGUGGUGGGGGCGGUGCGUUGGAGGGGCGCGGGGAGGGGGCGCGGGGAGGACACACAAAGAGGUGUGGAUCUGGGAGAGAGAGAGUGGGUAUCACGGGAGAGGGCAGAUGGGGGUGGGAGAUGGGCUACCAGCCGUUAGUGGUCGUCCCCUUUGUUAUCGACCUGCGGAUCAAGCUCGCGGCAAAGAGGUCGAGGCAUACGGAUAAGAGGGUUUGGGUAGACGGCAAAGAGGCUCGUGACGGCAAAGGGGACGGCUCCAGCUGCGGUGGCUCUUUGCCGUAUGCGUGGACCAUCUUUGCCAUCAACCAUUUCUUUGUCGUCUGUGUGGUCCAUCUUUGUCGUCUGCAAGCAGACGGCAAAAAACGAACCGCAUCAGGCAGUUCUUUGUCGUGUGUUUGUUGGCACGUGACGGCAAAGAGUAUUUUUGCCAUCAGGGAGCAGACGGCAAAGAUUGGCAAAUUCCCUGAUUUCCGUAGUGAAACAAGCACUUUCCUAAUGUAUAACAAAUCACGGAUCUAAUUUUUUUGAAGUUAUCCAAAUAAAUCGACCCCUCAUUAGUGUAAUUUGUUUUAGAAAACAAAUAACAGAUUUUUAAGAAACAAAUAACAUAUUUUAAUUUAACUUUCCUAACUUAUCCAAAUCAACUCAUCCUUCGCAUUAGUGCAAUUUGUUUUAGGAAACAAAUAAUAGAUUUUCACGAAACAAAUAACAAAUUUUAAGGAAAUUACCAUCUAAAUCAUGACAAAGGGCGAGUUCUUUUGUAGCUUAUUUUGGGCUAUGGAAAUGAGCUGCCCCUACCCAGCUUAUUAAGAAGUCCAAACUAAAACUUUAUUUUAGAAGAAUUAGUUUGGGCUUCUAAAAUAAAAUUUUAGUCUGUGCUUGUAGAAUAAGCACGGUAGGGACAGCUUAAUUCCACAGUCGAGAUAAGCUACAAGAGAACUGGGCCAAACAAAUCUCUAUCCCUAAUUGGGGACUUGGUAGAGGGCUUUUUGUGGGGUUUUUUCAUCUCUCCUCCCACCUUUGUGUGGUUUUUUUGUCCCUUCUUAGACCGUCAUCUAUUUCAUCUUGGUUUUUUUUGCAUCACCUUCCACAUCCUAUUCCUUUGUUUUUUGCUUUACCUCUCACAUAAUCAAAAACAAAUUUGAACGGAUCCAAAAUUUACAUGCGAUCAUAAGUUAUCUAGUAAUGUCUUUAUGUGAAAGAAUCAUUCAUGGUCAAUCUUUAGUGAAUCUUUGAAGAUCAAAUCUAAAUUAAUUAAACUUACCAUAAGUUGCUAAAUCAUCUUAAUUAAUCUUUCUAUAUGUCAUCAAAAUUAAAUUAAGUAACAUUACCGUAUCUCGUCCAAUCACAUUAAUGUCGCAUGACACAUCCUAUCAAAUCUCUACUUAGUAGUUUCUAUUCCACGAUUUUUUGUCUCACCUCCCCCCUUCACCUUCAUUUUUUGUCUUUUUUCGCAUCACCACCACUAGAUCGCACUCAAAACUAUUCAAGAAAGGAAAAAAUACGCUGCCACUUCCUCCUCGAUCCAGCUGCUUCCUACAUCUAGGAAAUCCUAGGGCUUGGUUUUGGGAUGCCGCCACCGCCAUCGUUGGGGUUCCCAGCCUCUGUCGCCUAACUUUGUGCUCCUCCACCGACCUCCGAGACUGUCGGCGUCCGCGCCAUCGCAACCUAGGUUAGGGCAGGAUCGCAACCCAGGUUUUGGCAGGACUCAAGGGAGGUCGUGGAUCCUUCAACCGUAUCAAUCCCACCGCCCCGCCCAGAAGGACAUACGCCGAUAAGAGUUGGUGUGUUGUUACGGGUGGUGGCGAGUAGGACGGCCCGUGGUAGCCCCCGAAGCACCACCACGACAGCACCUCGCCGAGGCCCCUCGACAUGGGUUGGCGCCCCCGUCCGAGAGAAGGGUAAGCUCCCGUUAUUCCCAACCGACCCCCUCCCCUGAAUUCAUAGAUUGAUUGUGCUCUCCAUCGACCGCUUGAGUGGGCAGCGAGUGGGUUCGAACAUGAUUUUGUUGCGGACGUGGAGCUUCUUGUAACAAUUAGGGUGAGAUGUAUAAUGUGUUGGCUACGAUACGCUUUUGGGAUUUUGCAUGUAGUUGUCGAUUAUAUGAUUUGCCUCUCGUAAAUGUGAGUGAGCAGUGGUCCAUCGUCAUAUAGCCGCAGAGAUGAGUUGUUGUGAUGAUUAAAAUUGUGUUGGUGCUCGAAGAGUAGAUGCUCAUGGUUGAGUAGAUGCUCAUGGUUGAUCAUGAGGCUUAUAAGUAUUUCCUUGCUGAAUAUGAGGUUGUGUUCUCUCUCUACUUCAUGUUUUUUUACAAAUAUAAUAUGCAAUUCAUAUCUUUUAAUGGAUAUUAAGUGUCAAUCUUUUGUUCAAUUGUCAUUUACACUCAUUUGUAUGUAGACGCCAGUUAUUUGUCUGAUGCAUUCUUAAGUUACAAAAUUAACUAUGCUCUCUAGCUAAUGUUGCAUCGACUCACCGUGUAAAUGCAGGUUUGGCUUUUGACGCCAUUGCAUUAUAAUGUGUAGACCUUAUUUACAGUGUACCAUAUUAUUGUCGAUCAAGUCUAGCAACUGGACAAUCAUCUUACUAUAUGUGUGUCCGUUGGCAAGGCUCCACCCUCUUCAAGGGUGGUUUGUCCCAUCUGAAGUGGCUGUUGUGAAAGUCCCACCGUUGCAUAUUUCAAAAGUCUAGAUAAAUGGUUUCCCUCCAUGUCUAGCGCAAAAAAAUGAUUCGCCUGAACUUUUGACAAAAAACUAAAAGCUACACAAUUAUGCUCUUGAUGCUCCCUUUUGAUAGUACGAGAAAAUGGCAAGUUCAUGAACUAGAGGUCACCUCUCAUCAGAUUGCCACUACACUUUCCCCUGAUUUAUUUUUAGUAGUUCAUAACAUUUACUUUUGGUGUUUUGAAAAUAACAGGAUUGUGUAAAUAUACUCCUUGAUGUAAAUCAUAUGUUCAAUUAGUUGUUGUUUCUCUUUUAGGCCCAAAUAAACAACUAUAUAUUAUAUACACUACUAUAGUGCAUGAAACCAUAUGCAAGUAUAGAACACUUGUACAUCUUGAAUGGAUAGGUGUGCACGUUAGCGUGUGGUUCCUCCUCCAAAACCAUGUUUGGUGGUUAGGAAUAUGGUUAUAUUUCUUUUUUACUUACAAGAUAUAUGUAUAGCUUUGAGGUAAUGGUAAUUCAAUCACAAGUUCUUUUCUUAGCUUGUGUAUCCUAGCUUAAAUUUAUCUACAAUUAUAGAAGUAGCAUUCUGAUAUAGGUAUUACUGUUUUUUAUUCUCUUUCCUCUCCUUGGUGUGGGGAAGCUAUUGUAUUUUCUACUGAACAAAGUGGUGAACCUUUUCAUGUAGUUCUUCUUAUUCAUAUGUAGCUAAUAUUUUUUGUAAAGAACAUAAGUCAACCUUGUCUAUAGUUUUUUAUUUUUCUGUAUAAUUGGUUGAAAAGCCAUGUCAAAAAGGGUUAACUCGCACAAGAAGUGACCAUUUGAAAGUUGAUAUAUCUCUUAUUACAAUGCAUGAUUCUAACAUGAUUUUGUUGCAAGUACACAACAAACAUCAUUCUUUCAUUUCUCUAUAAAAUACGACAUUUUGGCGUACUAGCCUGCCUAUAAUAUCUUCACACAUUCUUUUCUUGGGAAUUUGUUCAAAGCAUAGCUAGCUAUUGAUGCUUAUGGUUCAAGUAUGUCAUGUCCAUGGUUUUUCUCAUACCCCUAAUGUAUAACAACCUGAAAGUAUGCCGGGUUAGUUCGUUAUCAGAUAUACUGGAUAUCGAUGCAUGUUUAACAUGCCGAUCUCUUGCACACUAGGAAAGAUGGCACCAAAGUGCAGGUUAGUUGGCAAACAUACUUGAGAACUCUAUACUUGCAUCUAUGCAUCUCAAUUAAAUUUGGACCAUGCUGAUAUUUGGGGAUGUCUGGCAAUGUCUUAUACUUACUUAUAGAGUAUCGAUGUCAUGUUAUGAUCAUCUACAUCCAUACUAUAUUUGGUUAAAUAGAAAUUGUCCCUGCAUUUAGUUUACAUUUUACCCUAUCUGAGCUUAAACAUAGCCCUUUGGGGUACUACAUUCAUCACUAUGUGGCUAAAAUGGAAAAGUUGUAAAAUAAAAGGAAGCUCAAAUAGGCUGACCCUGGGAAAUUUUACCAUGAAUGAAGUUGUCUUGGAAUGAUCGACGCCCUUAAUGUUGAGCUCCUCUUUUCUUAGGAUGGCGGCCAAAUAAAUGUCAUAGAGGCAUUGUUUCGCAAUCUCCCAAGAUUGCAUUUCACCGGUGUGAACAUAUAGAUGGUGUUCUCCGCACAUGAAAGCAUGCAAUAGAUUCACGUGGUUGGUGAUUUGCCAAUAUGGUGACAUUUUCUUCCAUAAUAAUUGAACUUAGUCCUCGGCAAUGGAAAAUGGUCUUGUAUGGAUGAGUUUCAAUAUAUAGUCAUUUGACAAUCUAAAGAGCUAUUAUAAAUUUGAAACCCAGUCUCCCAACUAACACACCGAGACCGGUAAAAUAGGAAACCUGUAAGGACAAACCUUGGAAAAACCUUUGCCUUGGGCAUAGUCCACUUGAGCUAGAUGAUGACAAUGUUGUCCUCCUCAAGAUGGACCAGCUUUCUUGAUUACGUCGGCUCGAUGAAGACUAGUAGAUUGCUCCUCCAUACUCCACUAUGGGUGAGCCACUCUUCAUCACAUCUUCACAAGUCCAUUGCCACCAACUUCAAGCAUGAUCUUUUCCUGAUAAUCCACUUGAACUUGCAUACUGCAAUCUUCCAUGGGUUGAAGGAGAUCUUCCUCUUGACGGAAGCCCAUGGAAACACACCUAAACCCACAUACAACUCUCACGAAGACCAUAGUACACAAAGCGUAAUGGAAAAUGCUUAUCAUACCAUGGGAUCACUUGAUGCCUCUCGGUACAUCUUGUACGUUUUGUGUGUUGAUCAACUUGAUUCACUCUUUGACUUAGUCUUAAUCAACCUUGUGUCUCUAUGACCAAUCUUUGAAUAAAACCUUGAAUACCACCUUGGUCAUCAUAUAAACCCCUUGAAACCAAUAGAUGGAGUUCAAGAAGUGUUUAUGGACAAAUCCUUCGAAUAUAACUCAAGGGAGUCAUUAGUCCAUAGGAUUUGUCAUCAAUUACCAAAACCACAUAUGGAGAAAUAUACUCUAACAAUGUUGUUUGUUCCAUAAGCAUAUCUAAUUUUGUGGCUUGAUUCCAGUGCUCUUGAAUCCAUUGAUGUAUAGGAAGUAUAUCUUUGGAAAUAUUUAGAUGUAGUGGUGUCAUUCUAAAACAUUCCAAAUUAUAGGAAUACCUAUUGCGUAGUCACAUUCUUCAUGGAGAUUGCUAGAAUAUGUGUAUGCCAGGUGAACAUUUUUCAUGUAUUUGCAACUACAUAGCUAGGAUAGGAUAUCGUAUUUUGAGCAUGAGACUAGACAGCCUAGAUAUUUGUGUUGUUCCCCAUGAAAUUGAUAAUGUUCAAUUUGUUGCAACUGAAGCUUAUCACAACAUAAUUGCUUCUCUUCUACUGAUAAUUGCUUUUGAGUUUUAUUAGUUUUAAAUUUUAUUCCUUGUGUGUUAGCACAAUUAUGUCAUUGGCGUUCCUCUCAUAGACAAGUAAAACACUUCACUAUAUUAAGCUAUCGGUGUAAAUGGACAUAAAUUAAAUGGAGAUAAGGAACGACAACAUGUUAGCAGAAGUUAUAUACACACUUGUAUGUUACAACAUGUUAGCAGAAGUUAUAUACACACUUGUAUGUUACUUGCACACUUAUUGAGUACUAACAUUAGUCUACAAUUUUCCAUAUGCUCUUUAUCCAAAUAACUUGUUAUUCUUUCUUUGAAAUGUUGGUUGUGUUCAACUUACUUUGUGAAUAGAAAUUAGUAGCAAAUUAGCACCAACAUUACUUGCACUAAAAUUGACAUGUAUGUAUAUGCAUGAUGAAGGCAUUUUUUUCUUUGUAUUCAUCACUACUUGAUGUUGCUUCCUGCUAUGUAGGAAUAAGAAAAAUAGAUGUUUCGGCUCAUUUUGUAUAUUACUCUCCAUUAUAAGGCUUCCCGGAUUUCAUUUUGUAUAUUACUCUCCAUUAUAAGGCUUCCCGGAUUUGCGACGUCAAGGUAUAAAUUUUCCACAAAAGAAAGAAAAACAUAAUGACACUUCUUGUCUGAUUGUGCCGAAUGUUCAAAGUUGGAUGCAAAGUUGGAUGCCUGGACAAACUAUUCGACAGAAUGUCGGCCGCCAACGAUGGUGACUACAUGCACUAUUCGACGAAAUGUCGGCCGCCAACCAUGGUGACUACAUGCAAAACAUGAUCUUCGAGGGUGGUGCGCAGGCUCCAUCCUUUUUGUGUGCUGACAUGUGUGCCCACCAGCUGGCUAAUGCACCAGCAUGAACUGUGGUGCUAUGCAUUGUAGGCCGACGCUGGUACUCUGUUGGCAUGAAACAUGGCCGCUGGCAUGAUCAGCCGCAGCCGCAAGCUCUUUUUUUAUAUGUUGAUUGAAGACAUGAAAUGGGUCAGCGCGUCUAAAACAAGGACAUGUCCGUUUGGGUCUGCCCUUUGGAGUUGGAGUUGUUCUAACACCAACCUAAAUCUAAAACAGGACGGACUCAGACAAAUUCACCAUCCGUUUGGGUCUGCCCUUUGGAGUUGGAGUUGCUCUAACACGGCAACAAUCAGCCCCGGCAGAAAUGGGAGGGGUGGGCAACAGCCAUGGCCAAUCUCGAUUAUGAGGAUGUUUCUUCCUUGUGUUUUGCUGGGAAAUAACAGUUGUGAGGAGGUUUCAUGUAAGACAAGCAGUGGAUCCAGAAAAUGCCAGUGGACGCAAUGCAGUGGAAAUACAAAGAAUACACAAAACGGUGAGCACAUUGUAUAAUUAUUUUAUUAUGGAAAAUAUGAAAAGUGGAGUAUUCUUACAAUAAGACUUGCAACUUCCAUCUAUCUUAUCCUUAAGGUUAGUAAAUCUUAUUAAUAAAAGCAUUAAGACUUUCAUUCUAGAAAUUUUUCAAAAAUCCAAAAAGCUUUUUUCCAUUUAUCCAUUUUAAUUUCAACAUUACAUAGAAACCCUUUUGGAUUUGUUUCUAUUGUAUUGAAAGAAUUUUCAAAAUUUAAACGAAAUUAAUUAGAAAAUUUAGUUCUCUAUCUAUAAUUGCAAGUUGUCAAUGGACACAAUUAUGAGCCCACUGUAACAUCAAACACAAGGACAUAACUUCCCACAUAGAGGGCCAGAGAGUUUUGUUACAAUUUUACUGUUCACCUCUUAAACUAACCCUGAUACAAGUGCUUAACUAAAAACAACACCAAAACAACAAUGAAUCAUAAUAACUGGAUACAAUCAUAACAUUAGCAUCAAUGUUGAUUGCAACAUGCAGGGUCAUUAACAAUUCCGAAAUUAAGGAGAUGUUUGCAGUGGAAAUACACAUAGAUAAAGGAACAUAAUAUCAGAAACUGUAAGAUCAAAAUAUCAGGGGCAUAAUAAACUGUGAAGACAGCAGCAGCCCAAGAGGUCAUGUUGGCUCACCUACUACAGAAAUAUCAUCGGAAAUGAAAGAAUAAUGUCAAGAUGAUUGAUAAAUAAUAUUCCAAUAUAAUUGCAACGCAACUACAAGACAUGUUUGGCAUAUCAUACCACAGUUUCUCUCUAUAAAGCUGUUCUAUCUAUUCAACUAAGUAUCAAGUUCAAAAAGUUGGAAACAAAUUAUUAAGCUCAAACAAAACACUCACUUUCAUCAGCAACAUCAGAUUAUCAUAACAGAAAACCUUCAACUAGGCUGGAUAUUGAAGACAACCAAAGUGCUUAGAUAUCAUCAUAUCCAAUUCAUUGUCCAAAAUAUGAGAAAACUACUAGCGGUAAAAGGUAGAUAGAUAGGCAUGCAAGUAGUACACCACCGCCGCCAUACCAAACAAGAGAUCUCGCCGGAGCUCAACGGUAGGACUUCUGGAAACGCGCGCGGGCACCGCGACCACCGAACUUCUUCGGCUCGCAGCGGCGCGGGUCGGCGACGAGGAGCGUGCGGUCGUAGCGGCCGAAGAUCUCCUUCACCUCCUUCUUGGCGGCCUCGUCGACGUACUUCUGGUAGUAGGCGACGAGGGACUUAGCGAUGGCCUGACGGAUGGAGUAGAUCUGGCUGGUCUUCCCGCCGCCGCGGACGCGAAUUCUCAUGUCUAUGUCCUUGAAGCGGGACCUGCCGGCGAGCAGGAUCGGCUCGAAGGCCUUGAGGCGGAGCAUCUCGGGGCGGAUGAGCUCGAUCGGCGCGCCGUUGACCUUGAUGAGGCCGCGCCCGGGCUUGCAGUAGGCCACGGCGACGGCGGUCUUCUUCCGGCCGAAGCACUGGACGGUGCCCGGCGUCGGGCGGGUGAGAACGGCUGCCAUGGUGGCUGCGGCGGGCGCUUGGCUGCGGUGAGCGCGGUGGCGCGGGCUAGGGUUUUGGGUGGCGGCGCGUAGAGGGGAUCACGGCGGCGAGAGAACGAUUAUAUAGCCUGGAGGCGUUAGGGUUUUGGCCUCGCUCGCCCAGCGCUUCCUAUGACAUGUGGACCAGGCUUAAAGGUAAUGGGUCGGGCUGAUCAGUUGGACCUUUUGUGGGCCUCCAAGUGCUGGGCUUUCUGUGUGGGCUAUUGGGGUGGGUUGUCGUCCAUAAGAGGGCGCGGUCGGAGGAGAAGGAAGCUAGGGUUUCAACCCGAACACUACUUGAUCUUAUCCGAGCGAGCCGUCCGGCGGCGCCGCGGCGGCCGGAGUCGUCUCUUCCAUCGGCCGCGCCGCCACCGCGGUCCCCCAAGCGCUUGCGGGAAGGUGGCGCGCGACGUUUGGACUGAAAAGACGCGGCAUCCGCGGCAGCAGCCGGCGACGAGCGAUGACGACUGCCUGCGGUCGGAGCGCUCGCGAUGAUGGCCGCGCGGGCUCACCCAACAUACAAAACAAUCUCCAUUGCUUCCUUGCUUUCAACAGAGUUUCUCUUUCUUUUGAUCUCGGAAAGGUUUUCAUCUUGUUUUUUCUUUGGAUCGAUUUCUUUUUGUUCGUUUCUCUUGUGCUUGCUACUCCGUAUUUGUAUUCCUGAGCAAAUUAUAAUCGGUUUCUUGGGUUCUAACCAAGUUUUUUCUCAUAAGAUAUUUUUAUUAUCUUUUUUUUCUUGGUUCAGUGCAAUCCUUUUCUUGUUGGAGUGCAUAAAGUAUGCUUCUUUCUUGGAAGUAACUAUUACUGUAGAAAGUAAUCUGCUGUUAUGGAUGUUGAUUUCCUGAAAUUUGACAGAAUUCAGAUUAUUAUUCUGCAGGUUGAGCCUUCGGUUGCUGUCAUCGAAGCGGGAAGGUGGUGGUUUUCAUGCCCGAAGACGGAUGCCCGACGACUAUAGCUUUGUAAUACGGAUUUCGUUAGGAGAUGCGGGCUGUUGCUGUUCUUUCUUGGAUUCGUUGAUGAGUGUCAUCCAGAUUCAGUCU
rnacentral:lncRNA from 1 species